rnacentral:lncRNA from 1 species
ACUGUAUCAUAAAUAUAUAGUGAUGUGUGAUGCAUGCUGUAGUUGUGGUUAUAUAUACUUAUUAUAUCAUAUAUAGUGAUGCAUGAGCUGAGAGGUGGGGUUGGAAAUAAAAAGGGACUUAGCUACCAGCAGAGAGAGAAGUUGAUUGGGUGUUUUUUCUAAAGCUUUUUUUGCAUGUUGCAAUCUUGAAGCUAAAGCUGUACUGUAGCAUGCUCUUGUUACAAAAUUACAUCCAGUUGAUUUUUCAGUAAAGCAUGGGAAAGAAAGUGGAGGCAUGCAGGAACAAUCCAGAAGAGUAUAUAUAUCUUGUUUCCUUGGUGCGUGUCUCUCAGAUUCGUUAGGUUUAAGUUGUGUCCAACGUUAACGCGUGAGGCGUGUGACCGGCCGGAAUUGAUUCCGGUCACUUGCUAAGUGGCAGCUAAAGAGGAUGCCCUCUGUUUAAUUCCAUCGAUACCUAUAGCAAGCAAAAGGAAUUUAGGAACUGGACGGGACAAUAAUUGCCGUAUUGCAUCUCCAACUUUUUGCCUGGGAAUUCAGCAGGAGGCUACGUGUUUCACGAACCAAAGAAAAAAGGUCCGGAAUCAGAAUCAGCCCUUUUCGUUGGAUGUGGGCCCACCUAACCUGAUUUUAGUCUAAUUUUUAUCAUAGUCUAAUUUUUCUCCACUUUUUCUAUACUUCAGGUGCAUGAAUUUUAAGGUAAUUUCUGGCAACCCUCUUGUACCACCACCUAGUACAAGUAAUUUAUUACUUCUAUGAUUUGUUAUUUGUCUUUGUGUUACAACAUAUUAAUUUUUUUUCCUUGUCUUCCUAUAAAAAUAAAUCAAAUUGUUAAUUGUCUUUGUACCAAUACAAAUUAGAUUUUGUCGAGUUUGUGGUUUUGUCUAACGUGUUUUUUAUCCUGGUACCAAAAGUUGGAGAUUGCGCCUAUAGAAAUUACAGUAAACAAAAUCUGAAAAUUUAAUAUAAAACAUAUGCAAUAAAUGUCGCUUGAAAGGAAACUAAAACUCAGACACCUGAAUUUUAGCAAAUCCUAUUUUUCUCUUCAAACUCUAUCUAAAACCAAAUAUCUUGACCUCUCAACUCUCAAAAACUAUUUAAAUUGCCUCUUUACACCGAGUAGAGGUGGUUUUCAAGACACGGGUUCAUUCUUUUUAGAUAAAGAAGCUCCAAUAAAUACCUGAUAAGUUUUUGAAAUCAUGAAAAAAGUCUUUAAGCUUCUAAAAUUUUUUGGGACAAAUCCUAGAAAUAGAUUGGAACGACAAACGCAAAUAUAAUAUCUAGGGAUCGGAAAGUAUCUCUAAAUGCUUCCAAAAAUUAUAUUUACCACUAGGAAGAAGUGAUAAAUACUAGAAAAAUCUAGAAAACUUCCCAAACAUUUAUAAUCAAUGUCUAAACACAUUCUGAAAACUUCCCAUAAAGAGUAUGAGAUGCAACCAUAUGAAUGCAAGCCUUAAAUGAGUGUCGCAUCCUUGCUACUUUCACCUUUUUUUGUUGUUGUGUAAAGGUUUUAAAAUGCAUUAUACAUUAAUUAGAUUUUUAGGGAAUUUUCUAAAACAAAUUUUAAUUUUCAAAAGCUUCUAGAAAUAUUUUCAUGAACUCUAAAUAUUUUGUUUCAGUUUUUUGUCCCAAUAUAGCUCUAGGAUUUUUCUUACAAUUUUAUAAUCUUGAAGACAUUUUUGUGGUUUUAUUAAUAACUUAUUUGGUAUUUACCAAAUUUUUAUAACUAUAAAAACAUGAUAAAACAGCCUUGUGAACCGAUAACCCAACUCAGAUAAUUUAAAUGGUUUUGAUAGUUGAGAGGUAAGACUUCUGAGUUUCCGAAAGUUUUUAAGAUUCUCGUCACAUCAAAUCUUUGAACGUAUGCAUAGAGCAUUAAAUAUAGACAAAAACAAAAACUAAUUACACAGUUUGUCUAUAAUUUGUGAGACGAAUCUUUUGAGCCUAGUUAGUCCGUGAUUGGACAAUAAUUUUCAAAUACAAAUGAAAGUGCUACAUAGCCAAAGUCAAAAAUUUUCGUGAAUUAAACAAGGCCUAAGUGGUUGUUUGGAUCUCUAAAAUAUAAAUGUGUUUUAGCUAAAUGAGAUUUAAAGAGGUUUUUAGAUAAACCAGUUUUGAGUUGGUUAGUUAGUCGUGAGUCUAAUUAAAAAUGUGUUUGGAUGGUUCCUGCUACAAACGAACGCGAGUAUUAUGUUUGGUUUGACCGUAUUUUCUGGCGUUGGGUGCUUCAGCCUCAGCUCGGCAAGAUCAUGGAUUCCUGGUUAUCAGAAAAACAGUUUUACUAAAAACGAUGCGGAGCCGUUUUUAUUAAUACACAUUUUUUGAUUUCCGUGGAAAAUGAAUUCAUCUUAUACGAGAGUUGUUAGAAGAUCCAAGCACAGAUUUACAGAUAGUAGUUACAGUAAAGCUAGCUGUAGGGAAACAAAUCAUCAAGAAACGUCAAAAUCCAAAUACCUCUGAAAUUGGCUUAAGCUUAUCUACCAAAUUUACCAAUCAUUUAGCACUAUUUUUUUAUAAUAAAUCAGCGAAUAAUCAUCAUGACUUUUUAGCCGAACAAAGAGGACCCAUGAUAACCCAUAAAGUCUAUGAGUGAGGAACUGUGAAAGGCCCAUGGGCUGGAACUUGGCCAACACGUCUGUCUGUUUCCAUCCAUCAUCAUCAACGAACGAACUCCCUAACCCACUCCAAGAAGUAUUACGCGCCGCCGACUCGCUCUCCCAUAAGCCAUAAACGCCGCGCCUCACAUGCAAACACAGCAACCACCAAAACCCUAGCAAGCUCGUGCAAUCAUCUCCCAUUGACCGUUGCAAUAAGCUUUCCCUAGCUAUUAGCCCCGAGCAACGAUGAUGAUGGCAGCGCGCGCUCUUUUGUUGUCAUCCCGUCUCGCCGGCCUUUACGAGCAGGAGGCGGUGAACUGCGGCGGCCGCCGGGCGUUCAGCGCCGCGGCGACGGCGGUGGCGCGGAAAGAGCCUGUCGAAGCGGCCGGCAAAGCGAGGCCGGCGGCAGCGGCGGAUAAGGCGGCGGCAAAGAUGGAGGAGGAGUCCUUCUGGAUGAGGGACCCCAAGACGGGCUACUGGAUGCCGGAGAAGCACCUGUACGACGUCGACGCAGCCGACCUCCGGGCGCGGCUGCUCUUCUCCAAGAAAGAUUAAUUCAUUAGUUGACGAAAGAGUCCCCGGGAUGAUCCCACAGAGUUUAGAGUUGAGACGACAGAUUUGAGAUGCAAAAACUUUUAAAAUUUUAACAUUGUAGCACUUUUAUUUGUAUUUAGUAAACAAUGUCCAAUAAUAGACUAUAUAGACAAACUGUACAAUUAAUUAUUUUUUAUCUAUAUUUAAUAUUUCAUGCAUAUGUCGCAAGAUUCAAUGUGACAGUAAACUUUUGGAAUUUUGAAAGGAUCCAAACAGGCCCCUUCCUUUCAAUGCAUCAUGCCAUGCAUGCACGAUCAGUAUACAGUAUGGUUUUGUUGGUCGAUCUUGUAGCCUGUUCGUUGUACGCGCGCGAUCGAGUUGACGUGCAAAACUGCAAAAGAGAUUCGCUACCAGUACAUGUGCAUUGCUUAUGGAUUUUGUGUAGGCUGUGUGACGAACCGAGCGUCUGCAUUGGAUCUUCAACAUUAAGUGGUUUUUGGAUGUCUAAAAUUUUAAACCUGUUUUACCUAACAACAUGGUUUUAGGAGAACAGUUUUGAUUGGUUGGUUAUUAGGUAGCGCGAGUUCUAUUAAAAAUGUGCUUGGGUGUUUUUACUUAAAUUGGUUUCCAGCCAAAAGCGGGCCAAACAUAUUUUUAGUAAAACUCAUGCUAACGAACCAAUUCAAAACUAGUUUUCCUAAAAUCUUGUUUAAAACUCAUUUAGGGUGUGUUUAAUUCCCUAUGGAAUGCAAAAUAUAAAAUACCAAGUACUUUGAAAUGAUGAAAUGCAAAAUACUAAAUUUUUCAUGGGUGUUUUUAGUUUCAUCCAAAAUACCAAAAUUUUCAGGGUCCAAAAUACAUAAAGUUGCUCCUUUGGGUUUUUUUGGCUCUUGAAGCCAAAAUCCAGAAUGCAAAAUGACAACCAUUUUGCUAAAAAAAAAAGAUGGUGUUCAGUUCUAUUCUAUAAAAUGGUGAGCCAAAAACCCAAAAAAAUUUGGUCCAAACAGGGAAUAAACAGACCCUUAGCAAAAACAGGUUUAAAUUUUAGUAAUCCAAGUUUUGAAGAUUCUAGUUACUAAAAGUGUAGUGUAGUCAAUACAACUUGUAGUUGCUUAACACAAGUUCUAAAGAUUAUGGGUGCUAAACAAUGUUUUUGAGGCGCCACGUCGGACGCUUAGGCGACGCUAUAUACAUAUUAUAAGGCGUUGUAAUAUAGGAUUUUAUAUACUACUGCAGCGCAUACAUACCUCGCUUGCCAUGUUGUUGGCUACUAUCUAUAACUCUUAUAAAGCUAAACCCCACUAGAUGAAUUCUCUCUUCAUGCAAGGUGUCCACAUCAUUCCCACUAAAUAUUCUAUCUCUUCAUGCAAGGUGUCCACAUCGUUCUCCACUAAGUCCAUGUCAUCUCAUAUUAAUUACAAAAAAUGACCAUGUCAUCUAUAUCAUGUAAAAUACUUCAAAUCUUUAAUCUAUUAACAUAUAAGUCAUGUACAUACACUAUUUGCUUCAUCACCAAUUAAUUCCUCUAUAAUGUAACCAAAUAUUAGUUUUUGUUAUAUUAGCUUAGCAAUUUUUUACUAGAUCUAAUAUAAUAAAAUACAUGCAAGUCAAAUUUAUAUGACAUACAUAAUAGACUAAAUACCAUAUAGUAAUGCUAUGUAUAUAAUGAUUUAUUUUAAAAAAAAAUCCCUCACCAACUCGCGGGGAAUUCGCGUAGUAUAAAAGAAAGCAAGGGCAUUACCAAUAAGUAUCAUACUAAUUGUUGUGAAAUAACGUCUAGUCCCAAUAGGCAUCCAUUCAUUAAUGAUCUCAUCCGUCCGUAUGGAUCCGUAUGACGUCCGUAGGAGUAGUUAGGAUUAGUGUUAGAGAUUAGCGGUUAAUCAUGUCACCAAAAGGCAUGUCCUUCGGUGAGCAGUUAUGUCUCUUGGAGACAUCCCUUUACAUCUAUAUAGAUCAAUGAAAUACAACAGUAAUUCCAAAAAAAAUCAUUGUUCAUUUACAUUCACUUUCAUCACUAAUCAAAGCAAGAGCCUUAUGAUUUUUGUUUUGUAAGUAAAGUAGUAAAUAGUAAACUAAAGAAAGUAUCCCACUAUGAAAGAGGCAGACAUUAUACUAAUCAAAGAAAGAUCCUUAUGCUCUGUGACAACCCAUAAAAUAUAAAAAGUAGAUAUCAACAGUUCAUCUUAUAAUAUUCAGAGCAGAGUAUGUACAAACACACACCAUGAGAAAAAGCAGAGCAGAGUGCAAAAUAAAUAUUCAGAGCAAUGAAGGAGGCAGGGAUAGGCAUGCAACAUGAACAUACAAUAUUCAGAGCACGAGACAUACAAUUUUCAUAUCAAAAGCAAAGCACGAGGCAUACUAUAUUCAGAGCAAAAACAGAGCACAAAGAGCAGAUAAACACUACAAGAGUACAUGCCUGCGAGUUAGCCUAUGGAAGAUCAGAGACAGAGAGGAGGCAGGGGACAUACUAGGCAGAGGCGCAGAAGCGAGACGGGCGAGCAACUGUGGACGGGCGGACGGCCAAUGGAGGCAGAGACUCGAGGCGGACAAGCAGGUGCAGACUUUGAAGACUCGAGGCGGACGAGCAGACUGGAGGCCUGCGGACUUUGAAGUCUCAAGGUGGACGAGCAGACCAGAGGCCAAGCAGAGAUGCAGGGCUAGCUCUGGCUCCGCGGCAGGGGUAACCAACCGGUGGACGAGCAGAGGAGCAGCGAAGCGGACACCUACCGACUGCCGCCUUCUCUCUUCCAGCUGGCCCUCUCUCUUCCUCUCCCCUCGCCCUCACUCGCGACCGUGGUAAAGGCCUCGCGCGGUAAAUUUCCCGCGCGAAGGGCCUAUCUACUUGUCGUGCCAUCGCAGUUCCCGUGCCCUCAAUUUUUGUCACGAACGUGCAGUAGAUUUCCCGUGCGGCCAUAGUCUUUUGGCGCCCUUCCCUGCGAACUGGCAUCCGGCGUCCAUUACGGGCUGGAGGCGUCCACCCGAUGCCAAUCUACUCCUUGUCGACGCCUAACUCGAUUAGGCGGACGCCAUACCAGUGCAGGUCAUGGUGCCCCUGACGCCCAAGCCCUCUACAACGCCUUGUCACCUAGGCGACGACUAGGGAAAGCCUCAAAAACAAUGGUGCUAAGUGUAUUUUGAAAGCAUCAGGAUUUAGGAUUUAUGUAAGACAAAUCUAAAAACCACUUAUGACAUGCUCAUCUAGCCUCACAUGUAAGACCAUGUCAUCGUACAGUCAAGAUGACACACGAAUGGUUUAGUAUAAUUUAUGAUGGUUUGUACUCCACGUAAUAUAAUUAGCAAGUUUAGAGUGCCAAAAAUAAAUUUUGAUGAAUGGUUUAGUAUAAAUUUUUAUGAUUUAGACUGCACGUAAUAUAGUUAGCAAAUUUCUGGUGCCAGAAAUACAUUUCGGAAGUAUCCAAGAUCUAUAAAAAAAUAGUAGACAAGUUCAAGGACCACAAUUAAAUUUACUCAAAAGAAUUAUACCAUAGCAAAACACAUCUCUUUUGAGGUUAUUACAGACAAAUUGUUUUCUGCAACACAGGAAUUUGUUAGCGCGCCUAGAUUCAGGUUCCUUUAGAACGCAGGGAUUUUAUAGGAAUCCUACAAGGAGCACCUAGAUUAGGUACCUUUGGAACACAAGAAUUUUAUAGAAAUUAUACAAACCGUACAGGAAUCAGGUCAUUUUAAACAAAAAGCACAAGAAAUAGGGAGGAAAUCCUGCAUUCCAAUUUCCAAAGGGGGGGCCUUCAACUGUUGCAGGAACACAUACAAGUAAUCAAAUAACAAGAUUUGGACAUGAGUUGCCGGUGUAUCAACUUUAAAACUUCUGGAUCAUAUUCAAUAAUACAGGUCAACACUACAAUCUGCACAUCCAUAGCCACUAUUCUCUACCCACACCAUCACCCCUAAGAAUUGGGGGGUAACAGGUGAAAAAUAACAUAAGCUAAUUGACAUAUUUCAUGGUGCAGAUGCUGUAUAUUCUAUGAGUCAUUGCCUACUUGUACAGGCAAUGGUGACUUCGCAUGGCUACAGUGGGGACAAAUGUAUUCCAGCCCGCCUGUCUUUGAGUAGUCCUGUUGUCACAGCAGCCACGUCAAUUUGUAACCUAAUUUUCUAGAAUUCCUCAAAGGAAAACAAAAUGGAUGCUUUGGGAUCAGCAAGAGUCUACCUUGAAAUUGCCUAGCCCUUGCCGUCUAUCACAGCCAAGGUGGGCCCAUUCUCCACAUACUCCACAGUUCACCCAAUCACCCAGAUCACUACUGUAAAAACAUAAAGUAAUAUGUUAGAAUCUACAGAAAUGAAAAAAAGAGAGACGUCAGAUAUACUAGAAUGAAAUCAGAUCCUCAAACCUGUGGCAGAUCAAGCAACAUUCCACUUCAAUAUCGUCAUGUGCAAGUUCAUAUUCCAGCAAGUAUGUCUCAUAAUGCCUUUUUAGGGUGUUCCCAACACCCUGAAUGUAAAAGAAUGCAUGAUUAGAGUUUUAGUAUAAUGUCAAAUUAACCAGACAGCCAGAUUACAUGUUCAUAAUAAUAACUGAGUAAACAAUUGGCAUUGUGUACUCCAAAUAGCCGUAGUGCAAAAAACUAUUUUAAAAUACAUUUUCUAUAUGCUAAUAAAUAACAGGGCAAAUCUGUGUGUUAACAUCAGAACUACAAAAAUAUAAUAUAAUAGCAUAGAAAAUAGCAAAUUUAAAAUCUUCCCGCUUUCUCAGUACAAUAGCAAGUAAAUUAAACAAAAACAAGCAUACCGUCAUUUUGUUUGUAACUGUAUGGUUGCGCAUCUUUGAAAAGACUUGACCUUUCCAAUUUAUGCCAUUGCCUACAUGAAAGCCACCUCGGUAUACCACCUGGAUGAUGACAAUUCAGAAAAUUUCUCAGCCAAAACAUUUCAGUGUCACCAGUUUUUCUUUAAAUGGCAAUAUUUUCUGGGUGAUAACAGUACCUCAAAGAUUUUUCACAUUGAUGCUCUUUUUUUUUCUAGAGAUGUGAUACUUUUUUUCUUUCAAUGGGAGUGGGAUUAUCCCAAAGCAAUAUUAAAAAAUUGGCAUUCAAACUGGUACAUGAGAACAGCAGUGUGCAACUACCUCUUUGUAUAAAUUAUAUAAAUCAAGACGCUUUGAAUUUAACACUGCAUCAGGAAAUUCUGCCGGUCCUCCCUGAGGUACAAGUCGGUCAUGGCCCCUUUGAAGUAGGAACUGCAUGACAUCUUUCAAGAAGUCUUCCUGCAAAAGAUAGCACAAAAUGAGGGGAUAUUUACUAGGAGGAUGUUUCAGCACAAAAGGAAACAAAAGGAUGGUCCAGAAGUGUACUUCAGAGCAAAUGUUGAUAGGCAACCGAUUGCACUCAUGCUUCUUCAUUGGCAGAGGAUUCAAUGGGAUUGAUGGCUGAACACGUGAUGAGGAUGAUGGUGACCCGGAUGAUGAUUUUCUUUGAGUCACUUUGAUAACAGGUACUGUAUUGUCCUUUACAGGAGGGGCUGGUAAGCUAGGCUUAACUGGACUAGCAUCAUGGAUGGACUGAGCAAACCCCAUAAAGGGAUGCAUUUGUUGCUUGCGAGAGUGGGGAAUGGGUCUCAUUGUUGCAGGCUUUAACCUUGGUUUCAAUGAUGAUAGGGACAUCUUAUUAUCCCCUCCAACUCCUUUGGCACCAAAUGACAUCUGUUUUGACUCGAUGCUUCCAGUAGUUCUAUCCUUAGUAAGGGAUGCUGACCAGCUUGAUAGAUGGGCAUAUGAGACAUUUUGAAUAGCUUUAUCUUUGCACUGGUUAGAGCAAAAGAAAAGCAGCCGAUCAGCAUCCUGCCUAUCAAAUGAGGACACUGGUGUACCAUUUACCCAAGCAAUUCCAAGUGCAACCAAGCUUCUGUAACAGAUUUCUGGCGCAAGCUGUUUCAAGACCUAGGCAAUUAAACAUAAUCUUCAUUAAUAGAUGAAAUAGGAUCUGUUAAAAUAUAGUUAUGGAAGGAAAUUAUAAUCGAAUCAACACCAUGGGAAGAGAAAAUAAAGAACACAAACUUGAAAACUCAAUAAAUUCCCUAAAACAGAAAUCGACUCAAAACAGCAGCGCACAUUCUACAGUUUGAAAUUUUGAACUCCAGUAUGAGAUACUUUUCUAAGCAAGCAGCAACACUAGGCCUGGAGUACUAAAUAAAGCUCAGGUAUACAAAAACUAACAGCUACUCCCUCUGGUCCAGGCAUCUUCUAACAUGGCAUGUCUCCUAAAUUACACUUUGACCAUUCGUUUAUUUUAUAUUAUACUGCUUAUUAUGAUUAUAAGCAUAUGAUUAUUGGAUGGUACGUUUGAUUACAAAUCUAAUCUAAUAGUAUCAAGUUUGUACUACAAUAGUUAAAAAGUUGUUAGCCAAAUUAUUGGUCAAAGAUUAGAAAGUUAGACUCUUGACCUACGCAAAAUGCCUUAUAAACUGGACUGGGGGAAUAUAAAAUAAAAUAGGGUGCCAAGAUCAUUGAUGUCUUAUCAUUUCGUUAGAGCAUGAACAAUGGGGGUACUAGAGGAGACGCUUGCAAGAGUGGGGGUUUACCCUAUGUCAUUUCACCCAGGUGCUUAUAAACGGACAAAUGUUUAAGUUUGCUCAUGGUGCUUAAGUGUACUACUUCUGCCCUGAAAUACAAGGGCAAGAUUUGUCCCAGGUCAAACUAUUUUAGGCUUGACAAAGUGUAUAGAAAACAGUAUUAACAUCUACCACAUCAAAGAGGUAAGUUAUGAAAAUAUAUUUCAUAAUGUGAUGACCAUUGAUAUCGUAAAUAUUGUUAUUUUUUUCUAUGAAGAUGGUCAAAACUAGGAUAGCUCGAUUUAGGAUCCAGCUCCCCAAAAAAUAACAUUCGACUUGCAUGACAUCUAAAACUUUUAUUCUUCAAGGCAAUAGCAAUUUAGGGUAACAUAUUAAGAGGUGCAAUGCUAGGUUUUCAAAAACCUUCAAUGGGAAUGAGUGGACUUAGCACUCUUUGGCAGGAGGGAUGGGAUGUAGCAAACUCAAAAUCUCUUGUAGUUCAACACGAAGGGAAUACUAACAAGGUACUUAAGUUUAUUUAAACACCCAUUUGCAUUGGAGGAAUUAACAUUAACUUUUAUUCGGUGCUCAUUGAUGUAGUGAUAUUCUAUCCCGUUAAGCACUCAUGUUUAAUCAUCUUGCAUGGUACAUGCCCUAGAUGCUUUCACAACAUAAUUUUAAACAUAGAGAGUGAAAUGUAUAACUAAAAGGGCAAAACAAAAAAGAAAGUUAAAUACAAAGGUAUGCAUUAAAUGAUAGCUGAAGUAAAACCAGAAAACUUCAUUAAAACUUUGAAGAAGAAAAAAAACCUGUGCUGCCCAUUUAGGCAGGGUUAUCCAGACUUCAAAAGUAGAAGCUCCACAAGCCACACACAUGGAAGGCAAAGGUUCAUAUGAUGGCUUGUUAUCCUCAGUAUUCGAUAGAGCACGAACUAACUGCCUCUUCUCAAUAAUUUCAUUCUUGAUACGGCUCUCUAGAAGCUGCAUAUGUUGUGAAGCAACAUGAGUUUUUUUUUACAUCAAAAUAUGGGCUAGGAGAUGCUCCAUCGUUGUAGAAAUUGAUACCUUAUCAUCAAAACAAGUUUGGGCACUGGCAGAAACAAGAAAUGACACGUGUGCAGAACUGCAAGUUGAGAUAUCGCAGCGCAUUGUAACAACUCCAUGUGGAAGAUUUUCAGCUUGAAGAGGUGGAGGAGCACUAGAAAGAGAAACAAUGUGGAGCUUCAACUCUGAACAAAAUGAACAUUUCUAACAAAAAGAGUAUUUUAUAGUUUGGUAGUAUAUACCAAAUAAUCAAAAAAAAUUAAAAAAAAAAACUCUACCAGUAUCAUUUUAAAAGAAUUUAACUUCAUUUUCCAUUUGGUUCACAAAUCAUAGGCAAUACAAAUCAAGAUACAUUGGUUCCUUUUAUAUGCCUUCAGGUUUGUGCUUAAAAACAUGAUGAGAGCCAAGAAUACAAUGCAAACAAACAUUCGGGGAUAACAAAAUAUUAAUAUAAAUACUAAAGCAAAAGGCCAAGACUACAUUAUAAACAUGAUCCAUUCUCAAGUUAUAAAAUGUUUGAUGCAUGCAUCAUAAUUUAUGAGAUAUGUGGCUUAAUAUGUAAUGAGAUACCUGGAUCGGCUCUGAAGUUUACUCGCACGAAUCUGAGGAAAGUAAAAAAAAAUCAAUCAUCAAGCAGGUCCUAGCAAAUAUGAUGAAACACAAAAUAGAAUACUAGAACUUUAUAAAAAUUAAAGGAUAUUUAUUGAACAAAUCUGACACUGAAGACACCACUAUCUAAUACAUCAAAACAAUGCUUUUGUUGCUUAUAGCAAACCAAAAGCAAGAGUCAGACUCAAACACUAGUACUAACUUAUGCAUCCGUUUGCUAUACAUCAUAUUUUACUGGGAUUCACAAUAAAAGUGCAAGCCAAUAGUUGUAACUCGUAAGCAGCUAGUGGGCAGUCACCCCCCACUUGUCAUGUGACUAUGAGAGCAAUCCAUUCCACCAGGGCACCGUGGCUGCAUAGGAUCAACCGGCACAUUUCCUUUCUUGUUUUAGUUACUAUUUUUAAGUUUCUUACUUUGGGAGACGAGGUACCUCUAAUCUAUAUGAAACAAAAGCAGGUAAUGUGCCCUGAAAUGACUUUUAGUAAUAAUUUCAAUAUAUGAAUAUUCUGAUUUACAAUGAUGUGAUAACUAUAUGCUGCAUACAAAUCAGCAUGCCUAGUUCUAACAUAGCUACCAUUCGUUCCCAUAGCUCCUACGGUAAUACUAAAAGUUUGCGAUAUCAUGUAAAGAUUAACCAUCUAUCCAUAAUCUCAAUACUUCUAGAAUGUGCUCCUGAUUACUACAACGAUGACCACAAACCUCAAUAUUCAACAGCGCAGUCAAACCAUCUUCUAGUGCGCCCAACAAACAUGCAUCCUGAAAUUGAUACAGUUUGCAAUCAUUGAUUGGAAACAAGGUAAACAUCUAGUGAUGAGAGAAAAACGAGGUAUAACCCUAAGCUUACCAGGGUGCAUGGUGCUCCACAGACAAGAAAUUUCAUGUUCACAUCUUCAUCAUAGAUUCUUAUAGGUGGAAAACCUUCAGAGCAGCCUUCUUCCUUGUUCACUUCAUUCCCAGCAGGGAUGACAUUUAUUUUUGGGGCAUCCCCUAGUAGGCAGGGGCCAAGCUUAACACUUUGCACAUAAUUAUUUCUUACACAGUAUAGUCGAAAGGAGGCAUGUGCAAGUUGAAAUGCAUCCCAUGUAUGGCUGCAGGAACUAUAACCAGGAAUGAAACUGUUAGGUGUGAAACAAAAUAAAAUGGCACUGAUCAAUAAUACUUUAUGAUGCAAUACCUCUCAAUGACUGACAUUAACGCAUGACGAAAAUGAGAUGCUGUAUAAGACGAAAAUGAAUUCCUCCAAUAUACCACAUAUGGUAUCCCCUGAGUGAAAGAAUGCCGACAUCACAUAUUCCACAAUUAGCACCAAAAAGUCCAAAAAAAUAAUAGCCACUUUGUUUUAGGGAAAAAUAGCUUAUUAACACUAUAAAUUAUCUGAAGCAUAAAUGGUGAUAUCUAAAUACUACCAAAAAAUUAUAAACAUUCAAACAAUCAGUACCACCUAUAUUUAUUGAAAUGAGAUACUCUCUCCGUGCCAAAUUGUAGCACCUUUUGGCUUUUCUAGAUACAUUACUUUUACUAUGUAUCUAGACAUAGUGUAUAUCUAAGUGCUAACAAAAACUAUGUAUCUAAAAAGCCAAACUGUCUUACAAUUUGAAAUGGAGGGAGUAACAUACUAUAAACAUAAGGGACAUGACUUCUGCAAAAUCUAGAAACAAAAUAAGCGAAAAGGAGGGAAGAGUGUGCACUAACUCCAGAGUAACUCUUGCAAAUGUACAACAACCAAUUCCUUAAAAAGAGAUAGACACAAUUAUUGAAAAAAGUACCUUUGAAUGAAGUGACUGCGCAAGCUUUUCGCCAAUGGGAACCUCCAAAUAAACCUGCAUUAACAUUUAACAUGUUAAUAACUAUAUUGCAAAAAAAGGAACAAAACCACACUAUAGUAUUAAAUUAUAAAUUAGAUUAAAUGCUCCCGCCAACCAGCUUUGUUAGUUGUAUAAGCAAAGAAAUCCAAUAUUCAUCAGCAUAUAUGGACAUGGGCACCGCUUUGGUGCUUUUUCUCUGUUUGAACAUGGGCAUCAGUUUCGUACUGCAUGCAGGAAUUGCUCCCAAAGUUAAUACACUGUCAUUGUUCUCUUGUUUAUUUAAAGCAUGUGUGCAACAUGUGCUAACGGCAGGCAGACACUAACAGAAACACAGCAUCCUCGCCAUUCUCUCACUUAUUUAGAUAAGACGCUUUUACUCCGCCAGAUUAAUGCAUUGCGGGGAGGACACUUCUCUAUUUGGUCUCUGUGUGCAGAGAGUUUAUACGUCGAUCAUAUUUAGAUGGAGGGAGCAACAGACAUAUACAUGAUCUCGAUUAUAUUUUGGAUGGAGCUUGCAAUAGCAAGACACAUACAGGAUUAUAGAAGAUACUUAACAAUAAGAUAGAUGCUACACGAAGCAUCCAAUCAACAUGCAACAAGAUCACAUACCCAUUAAUUUAGCCACAUCAAUUAAGUCAAUAAUGCAAAGUAAAACUCAGCAGUUUAGGUCACAAUACCAAACAAGAGCAUUAUCAGAAGUUCAGAACAGACCAGUAAAUGUAACUUUUAAAAAACCACAGUUAUAGCCAGAGCUAAGGUAAUAAUUCCCUGGAAGUCACAAGAUCAUGUUCCUCCCUCUCUCUUCAGAUGAACUCCUAGUUCUUGACUGGUGCAACACAGUUAUAGUGUAGUACUGAUUGUCAUGCUGGGCUCCCUUUUUCAAGGCUCAAAUAUGAAAUUGUAAAUUGAUGUGCACUUUUGCACCUCAUGUCCACCAGUCAAGUAAGAACAGAUGAUAACACUAAAUUAUAGCAACAAAUACAUGCUAUUUAUCUAUUCAAGAAAAGCUUGGAGCUUACCAUGGUCGGAAAUGGUGGGGUGAUGAGUGAAACAAACAUCUGCGGGUCAGAUAAAUCGGUAUCGCCCCAGACAAGUGUCCCAAUCUCCUUCUCAUUCUCUUGCUGCUGCCCUUGAAGAUACAAGAAGACAGGAUGCACCGCCUGCUGUGCCUCUCUAAAUUGCUCCAAAGUGGGAUUGAUUAGUGUGUGCACCUGCAUCCCCAAAGUCCAGUUUUAGUUUGAACUUAUAACUCAAAUCAAAAAAAAAACAUCUGCCUCUACCACACCACACAGCAAUAAGAACUGACCUCCAAUCUCCCAGACGAAGCGAGCUCCGGGAAGGGGUAUGACAUCCGCACUCGCUUUGUGUCUGGUGCCAGGGGAGCUGGCGUCUGCCGCUUCUCGGCAAUCUCCCCACAAAGAACAGCUAGGAGUGUGCAGUUUCGCCCGGUGUUCUGGACUUGAGGCAUGGCUGCAGAGACAAACUAACUGCCGGGCCUCAACUCAAGUCAACACUGAACCUGCAACAGGAAAAUUGGAAAACGGGUAAACAAACACCGCAAAAUCAAAGGAAAACCCACCACCAAAACGAAUCAAUCCACACACCAGAUGAGCAAAUCGAAGCCCAGGGCGGCGUAAGGACGCCGCCGAUGGCGUAACCGGAAGCAGGUAGCUUCGAUUUAUGGGGUAGGAAGAGCAAAGCGUGGGGAGGACGGAACCCUAAUCUAGCCGCGGCAACAAUAACACGAUUUCCCAACCAGAAUAGAAGGCAAGUGCGGUGGCGGAUCUGUGAAUCGAGCACGACACGAGCCUCCCGUCCCAAUCCAAUCCAAUCAAAUAAACAUUUCACCGAUUGUCGAAAAAAAUUAUAACAAAUCAGUAAAACGGCACCAGAUCCUCCCAGUUCCCAGUUUCGAUCCUCGCAUCUCGCAGGGGUUUAACACCAAGCAGGUAGGGAUCCAAAGGAAGACGAAUCCAAUCCGAUCAAAUAAACAUUUCAAGGAUUGUCGAAAAAAAUUAUAAAUCAGUAAAACGGCACCAGAUCCUCCCAGUUCCCAGUUUCGAUCCUCGCAUCUCGCAGGGGUUUAACACCGAGCAGGUAGGGAUCCAAAGGAAGACGAACCUGGGGAGAACGUGUGCUGACUGAUGAGGGGGGCAGAGCAGAGGGCGAGAUGAAACGCUCGGAUUUGGGAUAUCGCCUCGCCUUGUAGGCCUUGUAUAGGUGGUGCGCGUAGGUGCGGAAUCUUCUGGCCGAUCCGCUUACUCCCCCGUUCCUGUGUGCGGGCUCGGCAACGAGGAUUUCAUGACGAUUCAUUAUUCCUGUGGAUUGAAGAGGGAUAGAAAAAAACAAGGGGCGCGGAUUAAUUACCUUCUGGAUUUGGAAUCGGGAAUGCGAGGAAGAGAAUGAAAAGGAUUUUGUUUCGAUCUACGAAGAGAUGGAUGAUACCUGCUGCGGCUGAGGCUGCGGAUGCCGCUGCACGAGGCCACGAUCCGACGCCGCUCUGGUGUCGUUGGCGCGGUGGAUUUUCCACGCGCUUCGCCCAAUCGAAAGUCGAAACUGCCUGUUUGCUUGCUCGUUGCUUUGGCACCGCAUUCGCGGCCUGGGAUGGGACUCAUGCGAGCGAGCGAGCGUCAGAGCGUGCCGUGGCAGCGUCGCGCUGUGGUUUCUGGGUGCUGUUCGCGAGAUAUGUGCGCCCAGCAGCUCCUCGCUCUGGCGUGUUCUUCAUCCUCUCGGGCUUUUUUUUUUCCCUUUUUUUAUGAGAGAAGUGACAUCAUAAAUAAUCCAAUUUCUCGAUUACAGAAAUAUAGGACAAAAUAUACCCACUGUUCGUUUUAGUCCAAAACAAGGAAUUGAGAAGGGUUUCCUAGUGAAAGUCCUCCUCAAUCAACUCCGACACUUCUCCUAUCUUAUGGUUCGGGACUUGUUUAGUUUAAAAGUUUUCGAGACUGUAGUACUUUUAUUUUUAUUUAAAAAAUAUUGUUCAAUUAUAGAGUAGUUAGGCUUAAAAGAUUCAUCUCGUGAUUUAUAGGUAAACUGUGCAAUUAGUUUUUAUUUUCAUCUAUAUUUAGUGCUCCAUGCAUGUGUCGCAAGAUCCAAUGUGACGGGGAAUCUUGAAAAGUUUUUGGUUUUUAGGAUGUAUGGUAGCAUAAUUUUUAUUCGGAGUCUUUAAGCAUUCAAACUUAUAAAUUGGUGUUGCAAACUGAUGAACAUGCCUCGCUAUCCUAUGAGUUAUUCUAUUGACCUAUCAUGGAAUCUUACAAAACUCAAAAUCUUAUUUCUCAAGAGUAUCCCUAAGUAAUUGACAAUCCGAAAACAUGAAAUCACACCAAACAAGUUUCAUACAUUUUUGUGUAGUAAUAUAUGGUCAUGGGUCAUUAGUUAUAAUGUUAUGUCAUCAUUUCAUGUUGUUGUGGCGAAGUAAUAAGGAAGGAAUGUAAGAGAUUGGUUUUAUAUAAGUGAAGCUAGGUAUAUGAUGUCUCUAGGAUUAUGAAACAUAUUGAAACAGACAUUGGUUUCAUUCCAUCCUACUUUUCGCCAAAUUCUAUGUGUCAAACUUAAAUGUUGUACUAAAAACAACCAGAUAAAACAAUGCAUGGGAAGGAGUUGUUUUAUUCAUCAACUCGAAAGCACUCUAGAUGGCAAGGCAUUCUUAGAAACAAUAAAAUAAAACAUUCGGUUUGUUUCUCAAGAAACAUAUGGGCAAUAAAUUACUCUGGAAUUAACAAGAGUAUUACCCCACCUAACUCUGAUGAUAAUCAAUUAAAUACUCUUUUGCACAUGUAGAGUAUUGUCUAGAAACACUAAUAUGAAACUCUCUCCUAUGAUUGGCCUUAGAGCAACUUCAACCGUUUGGCAAAAUUCGUUUCCCAAAUUUUAUUGUUUGUCAACUUCAAAAAUAAUAUGGGGAGGAAAAAAUAUCUCAUAUCCAACGGUUUGGCAAAUUUUAUUUCCAAAAACUCAAAAAUCUGCUAACAAAAUGAAAAGCCUUGCUAAGCGAACGAAGAGCUCCGCUAAGCAUGAGGAGAAAGACUGAUGCCAAGCAUAGAGCCCGCGCGCAUAUUUGUGCGCUAGAUAGAGAGAUAUGACAAGUUAGAAAAGAUGGAGAAUUGAGAUGUUAAACUGUUGGAGAGAGUCUUUCCUCAUUUUGUUAAAAAAAUUAUGGAUAGGAAGUCAUUUGUCAAACUGUUGGAGAUGCUCUUAGUGUUUGAUUUAACGUUUCUUAGGAGUCCUUAUUCUUCUUUUUCUUGCCAACUAGACAUCUUUACUAUAUGCACUAUGUCUACAAUUUGAAGACACUAGAUGAUUCCCCAUGUGUUAUUGUGAAAAUUAGAGACAUAGAUUUUUUUUAUAAGAAUGAGAUGAAUAAAGCAAUCAUUAAAGUGGUUGGGUAUCUAAUUAGGAGACUAGAAUAUCCAAAAAAAUAUUAGAGGUUGAGUUACAAGUUGCUUGAAUCGAGAGAAAAUUAAGGUGUAUAUUUUGAUAAUACGACAUGAGAUAUACCAAAUGCAAGUACUUAUUAGUCUAGCAUGGGCUCGUUUGGCUCCCGCCACAUGCCAUCUUUAUGCAUGUCUGGUUGUGCCAUAGAUGUAGCGAACAAAAUGGGCGCCAGACAUUUGGUGAGAGUUGAGGUGAGUUUACAUGGUAGCAACCAAACGCACAUUCAACAUGCCACAAUUUAAUUGUGGUGUGGUAUGAGCCAAACACACAAACAAAUAUGGUUAUAUAGUAGUAAUUUUAUUAUAUGAGUUAUUUAUUAUUAAAGCUUUAUUUGCAAAUAAACAAGUUGAUUUUAAUUAAUUUGGUGAAGAGGUGAAGAGGGUAGUGUCAACCUUCCACAUCUUGAAACCCUUUGAGAGGAGAAAAUAUCUCAACCUCUCAUAUCAUGCUUAGCACUUACCGCAGUGUUUUGCAAAACCAUUUUCACUUGCUACUCACUAUGUCACUAAGCAUAAUGCGUAUGCAAAUGAAACUCACACUUAGUGGAACCAAAUAAAUGUUGCAACUAAAGAUUUUCUCUUUUUAUAUAGUACGACUAUCUAUCUUAAAUCCAACUUGUUUGGCCAAAUAUAUCAACUCUCAUCUUUCAUUAGACUUUAUAGGCCUUUCAACCAAACAUAUCAACUCCCAACUUUUCUGGCCUUACGAAUUUUAUCAAAUUUCUAGCCAACUUCAAGGCAACACUUUUUGCCAAGCAAGUUAUGAGGGCUCCAACCAUGGCUUAAUUCGACAGUUGACAUCGGUUCUUGAUAACGAACCUGAGCUCCAUGAUGGUGAGACACUCACCCUCCAUGACCACUGUGGCGCUCUUGUUGACACAUGGGUUUCUUGCAGGGGCAUCAGGUCUCUAACGCAUAGGAAAAAGGCACCAUGCAAGCUAAAAUUAUGGACCACAAGCGACUCAUUGGUCACCUUUUAGAACAUGUUCAGCAAUACUUGAGCUUUAAAACCAAAAUUGAGGGUCAUAGCUCCAAUAGACCCUACUAGAGAUCUAAAAAAUAAGAGGCUCAAAUCUCUCCUCAACCCUCAUCCAUGGAGGCUCUAGAGGAGCACAUACUCACUCGAACCUUUCUAUGUUGGUCACUCAUGCCCCUUCGGAUCUACCCUCGUGUCACUUCUUGACAUCACUCCUUGGUCUGACGAUCCUUCUCAGCGGCACCCCUGCACGGCCUCCUCCCUAGCGCCCUCCCUGGCUCGGCAACUCCUCCCUGGCUCAACCUCACACGAUGGCACAAUCGCACCCACCCAUCGCCACCACCAGAUCCGACCUCCUUCGUCCUAGGCACGCCCCGCCCAUGGUACUAAAUAGUGGUUGUAACAACCAUAAUAGUCAUAGCGGCCUCAAAGCACUACCGCUAUGAUGUAGUAGUCUAGGUUUUGCAAGUUGGAACUUAGCGACUGCUAUUUGAGUUAGCGAUCUGCUAUAGCAGUUCACAAUUCUUUGUAGUGGUCGCAAUGGCAUGGAGUGGUACACAAAAAAUAAAUAAUUCUAGUGCACUUAAGAUACACAUAUGGUUUAAGUGACCAUAUAAGUAUGUGAGACAUCAAUUCUUUAGGUACAAUUAAUUGACUAUUUAUAACCAUUAUUCACGAUAUAUAUGCUUAAAUUUACAUUUGCCGCUAUUGGAACUUAGUGUCUGCAAUAGCGCCCGCUAUCCGCUAUCUUGAUAUCAAUCUGCUACCAACCCGCUAUGCUAUUUGUCUCACUAAAGAUCAGAUGUAAGAAAGAACAAAGCAUGUUGAUGUGAGAUGUCAUUUUAUUUGAGGUGUCAUUGUUGAAGGUGAUGUUAAGGUAUGCAAGGUAAAUGCCCACGAUAAUCCCGUUGAUAUGUUGACAAAGCCUGUUCUUGAAGCUAAUAAGUUUGAGCUAUGCUCAGGCUUAGUUGGUAUUAUAUUAUAACUUAAGUCCUAGUGACUUUUAGUGUAGAUGAUUUUUUUUAUUAUUGAAGUAAGUUAAUUGAUGAUACUUUAUUUUGCUACAAGAUAUAAAUUUUCUCAAGGUGAAUUUUAUUGGAGCAUGAUCCAAAUUCUAAUGCGAGUUUUGCAUGGACGUAUGAAGGGCCCAUAGCUUGGGGUAUGUUAAUUAGAAUAUUUGUUUUUGUAUUGAACUUUUGUUCGUCUGUCCUAUAUCUAUAUCUUUGUAAGCUACGUGGGAAGAGUUGACUCAUUUGUAUCCCCUAUGUACUGUACUCUCAUCGUAUAGUGGAGAUUACUGUUUUAGCGCAUGUGGUUUUUUUACAAGGAUUUUUCAUGUAAAUUUUUGUGUCCUGUGCUCGAUCUUUAUUUACAUUAUUUGCUAACAACAUGCUUACUUAGUCCUUUGCAUCUACAACAGAGAAGAUGAUUGGUAAAAAAUAUACUUUGUAGUUCUAACACUUUGAGUCUGUCCUACUAAAUUAUUUGAUGUAUUUGAAAUGAGAUCGAUGUUAGUGUAUCUAACUCUAUUUCUAUGUAUCGUUGUUUUUUAUGAAUCUUAAACAUAUUAGUAUUCUUUUCGUAUAGUAUUUAGAAGUCGUUUUUAUAAGGUUUUGGUCAAACAUUGAGAAUAUAAAUUAUCAAUAACUUUUAAAUUGUUGAGUUUGCAAAUGUGAAAAUUAUAUGAAUAGAUUUGUUUUAAAUAGUUUCAUUAAAGUAUAUAUAUCAUUUUUUAUAAAUACUUAUAAAAAUAAGAGGUUAAAGUUGUGUUUUGAAGAUCAUAUCACUAUCCUAUUCUAAACGACUUCUAAAUCCUAUACGGAGGGAGUAUCUAUUCUUUUCUAUAUAUAUAUAUAUAUAUAUAUAUAUAUAUAUAUAUAUUAUCUUUUUGACGUUUAUUGAUUUGUACUACCGAAAUGUCACCAUGGCGUUAACAUGUAUAACAUACUCCCAUUAUACUAUAAGUCAUUCUAAGAAUCUUUGAGGGUCAAAGCAUCUCAAGUUUGAUCAAAUUUAUGUAAUAAUAUAAUAACAUUUAUGAUUCUAACUAAGUAUUCUUAGUUUCUUUAUUAAGUAUAUUUUCAUAGUAUAUCUACUUGAUGUCAUAAAUCUUUUUAUUUUUUUCCAUAAUUUUAGUCAAACUUGAAAUGCUUGUACUCUCAAAGAUUCUUGAAAUGACUUAUAGUUUAGCAUGCAGGGAGUACCAAUAAAAUCUAUAUCUCUUAUAUAGAUAAACCUCACUAGCUAAUUCUUUUGACAUGCAAAGCAUCCACAUCAUCAUCCACUAGAGCAUCCCACUAACUAAUUCUCUUGCCAUGCAAAGCGUCCACAUCAACAUCCACUAAAUCAUCCCACUAAUACAUUACCCCGCCAUGCAAAGUGUUCACAUCAUUAUCCACUAAUAAAUCGAACUAACACAUAUCAUUUUAUCAUGUAUCUAUGUUAUUCACGUUAGCAAACUACAUUAUUUUGUAACAUAUAUUUAGUUUUCUAUGCUAGAAUACUAAAAAUCAUCCACUAACAUAUAUUAUGAUAGUAUAUAACUUUACCAGUAAUUCCUGCAGCAACGCGCGGGGCAUUCUCCUAGUUACAAUAAUGAGAGUUUUGUGUGAAAGGCUGCCCUGUAAAUUUAGAGAUUCAUUUCCAAUUUUUGUUGGAGCUAGAUUUUAAUCUAUAUAACUGUUUAUCUGGGUUUACGGAAGGUUUUAGAUAAGAAAAAAGUCUACAUAACCUCCUAAACUAUUUUUUGUGGUGGAAUACUUCAUCCCUAAACUAUAAAACCAGAUAUCCUACCUCCUAAACUUUCAAAACCGGUAAAAUAACACCCUAGAGUGGUUUUAGAGGGUGGUUUUGUCUUUUUAUUUUUUAUUUAUUUCAGCUUAAUAAUGUAAAAAUCAUAAUAAAUCAUAGAAAAAUUAUAAAAUGAAAAUUCAAAUUUGUUGGACUCCUGAUGAGUAGAUCUACACAAUGAAUAUAUAAUAUGGUAUACUUUAUUACAAAGUUUUUGUUGUAACUUUAAAUCUAUGUUUUUCUAUAAUUAAUAAGAAUAAUUUAUAUAUGUAGUUCCUAUGGUUCAAUUGUGAUAAAAUUCUUAUGCUGGGCUCAUUAUUGUAUUCUUGAACUAUGGUAAAAGUUCCGUACCUAUUGCAUCACAUAUAACUUAGUUAUAGAUUUAUUUAGCUUUAUUCUUAUUAAAUCUAUGAUUUAUCUAUAACUAAGUUAUACAUGAUUCAAUGAGUAUGGAAUUUUUACCAUAGUGCAAUCAUACAAUAAUAAGCCCACCAUAAAAAUUUUACCACAAUUAGACCAUAGGAACUACAUAUAUGAAUUAUUUGAAUUAAUUAUAGAAAACAUAUAUUUAAAGAUACAGCAAAAACUUUGUACCAAAGUAUACCAUAUUAUAUAUUCACUGUGUAGACCUACUCAUCAGAAGUCCAAUAAAAUUGAGUUUUUAUUUUAUAAUUUUUCUAUAAUUUAUUAUAAUUUUUUAAAUAUUCAGCGAAAAUAAAUAAAUAAAAAAGAUAAAACCACCCUUAAAAUCACUCGAGAGGGUUAUUUGACCGGUUUUGAAAGUUUAGGGGAUAAAAUAUAAUAUCCGAUUUUAUAGUUUGGGGAUGAAGUAUUUCAUCCUAUAUAAUUUGGGGUUAUGUAUCUUUUUUUCCUCGUAGAUAUGUUUACUUCCAGUUAAAACCCAAAAUUUUUCAAGAUUUCCCAUCACAUCCGGUCUUUAGAGGCAUGCAUGAAGUAUUAAAUAUAGACAAAAAUAAAAACUAAUUCAUAGUUUGAUCGGAAUUUAUGAUACAAAUCUUUUGAACCUAGUUAGUCCAUAGUUGGACAAUAAUUACCAUAAACAAACGAAAAUGCUACGAUGUUGUGAAUUUUUUUUUUGUUUGUGAACUAAACACGGAGAAAUCCGGAAUGCGAGCCUCAAAACCAGCAUCAGCUUUCCAAAUUCCCACUCCGGAUACCAAACGACGUUUUGGUUUGCAAAUUAUAUAGGCUCCAGUACCGCAGUAUGUGCACCUAUAAAUCGGCCAGUGCUCAGUCUAGCGAACGGCCGGAUCGGAACCCCUUCGCUUUCUCCCCUGCUUCUCUCAAACGAAAUGGCAGCCGGAUCUUCCAGUUCCAGCACCGCCCUCGUCGGCAUCGUUGACGACUUCUACUUCUCCGUCCUCGCUCACGGGCGAAACGACGCUGGCGCCGCCGGGGACGACGAGCUCUUCCCGAUAUCCGACGAGAAGUACGCCACGGAGCUCCAGCUACAGGAGGUGAUGAUGUCCUCCGCCAUCGCGGCCACGGCGCGCUCCCGGGUCGCUCCACCUCGCAGCAGCACAGCUGCCACUAGCGACAACGCCGCCGCCGCCGCCGCGUCGGGUCACGGCAAAGGUAAGUGCGCCUACACCUCGUCGUCGUCGUCGUCGUCCCGGCCGUCCAUCGCCGUCGCCGCGACGCUCGUGUUCUGCAAGAUCUGCAUGGACGUGGUGCCGCCCUCCGACGCGCACCGCGCCAGCCGGGGCUGCGCACACGCCUUCUGCGGCGGCUGCCUCGCGGGCUACGUGGGCGCCAAGAUCCAGGACAGGAUCGCCGACGUCAGGUGCCCCGAGGAGCGGUGCGGCGGCGUGCUGGACCCGGAGCUCUGCCAGGGCAUCCUGCCCCGCGAGGUCUUCGAGCGGUGGGGCGCCGCGCUGUGCGAGUCCAUGCUGCUGGGGGCCAAGAGGACCUACUGCCCCUUCAAGGAUUGCUCGGCGAUGAUGCUGGCGGACGACGACGGCAGCGACGACGUCGCCGAGGCGGAGUGCCCGAGCUGCAGGCGGCUCUUCUGUGCGAGGUGCAACGUGGCGCCGUGGCACGCCGGCGCUACCUGCACCGAGUACAGGAAGCUCCGGAAGGGGGACAGGGGCAUCGAGGACACCAUGCUGCUUGAGAUGGCCAAGGGGGAGAAGUGGAAGCGGUGCCCCAAGUGCGAGUUCUUCGUGGAGAAGCGUGAUGGUUGCCUUCACAUUACUUGCAGGUACUCCGUACGUUCCAUCUCAUCAUUCAUCAAUAUGGGAGCAGUACCACUGUUUCUUCACGGAUUCACAUGUGCACUGCAGUCAAACUGACUCUGAAGUGCACGUAGUAUUGCUUUUUCCCUUUUUUUUAUUCAGGACUUGUUAAAUAAGGUCACGUUAAAUUCAUCCAAAAACAAAAAACUUUUCAAUAUUUUUUUCGUCACAUUAAAUCUUCUGCCACAUACAUAAAACAUUAAAUAUAGAUAAAAAUAAAAACUAAUUAUACAAUUUGUUUGUAAACCGUAAGACGAAUUUUUUAAACAUAAUUACUUUAUAAUUGGAUAAUGUUUGUCAAAUAAAAACGAAAGUACUAUCAAAAUUAAAAAAGAAAAUUAGACCUAAACAAGGCCUAAAACGAAGAACGGUUUGUUAAAGUAUGGUAGAUUUUUAUUUAAUUUAAUAAUUAGUGUCUAAUUAUAAACUAAUUAAGUUUAAAAAAUUAAAAUUCAUCUCACAAAUUACUCUCUAGCUAUGUUUUUAAUUUUAUAAAUGUCUAUAUUUAGUAUUAUAUAUAUAUUCCUUCCGUCUUAAAAUGACCAAUGUUUUUUACUUUGACCAAUAAUGUUUGUUCGUUUUGUUCAAUUUUUUAUGUAAAUUUUAAAAUAAAUAAAUCAUUAUUAAAGUAAUUCUAAUAAUUAAAUAAGUCAUAUCAAAAUAAAUAAUAUUUAUAUAAAAGGUUAUAAUAAAAUUGGAUAGUCAAAUAAAACGUCAACAACGUUAUUUUAGGCUUUGUUUAGAUGCGAAAAGUUUUUAGAUUUCGUUAAUGUAGCACUUUCGUUUGUUUAUGAUAAAUAUUGUCUAAUCAUAAACUAAUUAGGAUAAAAGAGUUUAUCUCGUGAUUUACAGGUAAACUGUGAUUUACAGGUAAACUGUGUACUGUAAGAUUUAAUGUGACGAGAAACCUUGAAAACUUUUUAGUUUUUAGAUGAACUAAACAAGCCUUAGACGAAGAGAAGUACUAUGUCCAAACACGAUGCGACGGAUAGUAAUCUUUACCGUCAGUAACAAUACUGUAGAACCUAGUCAUCAAUAUGGGAGCAGUAGCACUGUUUUUUUCACGGAUUCAAAUGUGCACUCCAGUCGAACGGAUUCGUUUUUUUUUACGAAGUGCACUACAACUGCAGUGCAAGAACUAUUAAGGCCUUGUUUAGUUCCCAGAAAAUUCAAAAUUUUUUCAGAUUCUCCGUCACAUUGAAUCUUUAGACGCUUGUAUGGAGUAUUAAAUAUAGCCGAAAAUAAAAACUAAUUACACAGUUUGGUCGAAAUUGACGAGACGAAUCUUUUGACCGUAGUUAGUCUAUGAUUGGACAAUAUUUGUCAAAUACAAACGAAAACGUCAUUAUUCAUAUUUUGCAAAAAAAAUUGGAAGUAAACAAGGCCUAAAGGCCUUUUUAAAGAAGAAGGCCUUGCUUUGUUCCAUUUUUUUUUUUGCAAAAUGAAUCUAUAAUACUUUCGUGUAUUUAACAAAUAUUGUAUAAUUAUAGUCGAAUUAGACUCAAAAAAUUCGUCUCUCAAAUUACAGGCAAACUGUACAAUUAAUUAUUAUUUUUAUCUAUAUUUAAUGCUCCAUGCAUUCAUCACAAGAUUUAAUAUGACAAAAAAUCUGAUUUUUUUUGCAAAACUUUCUGGGAACAAAACAAUGCCCAAGAUGAAGAAGAUGAGAAUUAAGGUCUUAUUGUGCAUGAUUUUAUGGUAGCUUCUCCAGCAGUUAAAUCAAAAAUUCAACUUGAAAACGACUUUAGAAACCAAAAUCAAGACAAAAAUGCAUAGGCCGAAGUCAAUUUUGGCAAGAAGCUGAAACCAUAAAAAUGUAGUUUCUCCGUACUUUAUGAUUUUUGGACAAGCCCAAAUUAAUCCUACUAGAGAGACUCUGGGUGGUCUCGUUAAUAAAAAACAAUAUACACUUAAAUUCAAAUACUUUAAAACUCAACUUCCGUCAGUCGUCGGAUUGAGCUAUAUAUAUGAUCGUUUCUUGUCGAGAUUUUUUUGGAGCAUUGUAAUUUCCUCGUAUCAUUUCCUUCGCUUGAAAAUAUUUUUUUGUACAAAAAAUUGAUGGUAUCGCGAUUUUGCAGGUGUGGCUUUCAGUUUUGCUAUGGAUGUGGCAAGAGGUGGGGGAUUACUCAUUCUCGUUGCACUACAGCGUGAGAUCCGAUGGAUGCUAUCUCGGAUCUAAGUAUAAGGCCAUUGUCAAUAUAGGUUUCUUGUUCUAGUUUUCAAGACUUAUGUAUUGAAAUGUUAAUUAGUUUUAAUCCUAUAAAACUCAUUUUAUUUUCAUGAAACUUUUGACCAUCUCUCUUUAUUAGUAUUAAUGUCUCUCUUUAUUAAUAUUAUGUCAUGUCAUAUUUACUAAGUUGAUAACUUAUCUAAUGUCUAUAGAACUCGUAAAAUCACCGCGAGACUAGCCUCAAAACAAAAAAAAAAGAAUAGUGUUUUUCAAUUUAUUAACUGAUUGUAACUGGAACUAAAUGCCAUAUCCCAACUAGUGUUAUCAUAUCAGAAAAUACUGCUGACUGAUUUGUUAUGAGAGAAAAAUACUAUUAAAUAGCUGACAUAUUUGACUGAUAAGCUCAAGCGAACAAAAUACUGCUAACUGAUUUGUUAUGAGAGAAAAAUACUAUUAAAUAGCUGACAGAUUUGACUGAUAAGCUCAAGCGAACAAGGCGAUGUAGUGAGAGAAGACUGCAAUUCCGUCAGCCGCUCGGGCUAUCAAUCGGCAACGGAUUUUAGUAAUAGCUUAGGUUUUCUCGUUGAAGUUUUUGGGCAUGGAUACUACACUACUCCCUCCUGAUUUCCCAGAUGGUGUCACUAUUAGACUCGAUUCCUCCAGCGGAUUGGGACUAUAAGGAAUGUUUUAUUCUGCUUGUAUGUGUUUGGGCUACUGUCUUACUUUUAACCCUGUUGGAUUUUGGAUGUUGGGGUUAUUGUUGGGUACGUCAUCGACAUCAAAAUCUUUCUCCUAAGUGGUGUUUUUUUUUACAUUCCAGUCCUAACUUCCUGCGGUUUGGGUUUUUCUUUCUCUGACUAGCUAGGUGCGCCGGAUUUAUGGAAUCGAUCAAUCUCUUCUAUUUAAACCUACGUACUGUUGCAAUUGAUUUUCUCCUCUUUGUAAUAUGGCAGCACUAUGUGGAAACAAAAAAAAAAUGGCCGGACGUACGUGAUGCAAUCGUAGUAUAUUUUAUUUGAUUUAUGACAAUGUUAACCAAGAAAGCAAAUAUUGUAAUUUCAUUUGUCUUUUUUACGUGUGAUCCUUUUUGUAUCAAGAACUAAUUAAGAAGCAAUGAAAUGGUUCACAAAUUCUUUUUCCUACUUGAUCAUGGGCCUUGUUUAGUUCCAAAAUUUUUGGCAAAAUGAGCACUGUAGCAAUUUCGUUUGUAUUUGACAAAUAUUGUUUAAUCAUGGACUAACUAGGCUCAAAAGAUUCGUCUCGUCAAUUUCGACCAAGCUGUGCAAUUAGUUUUUAUUUUUAUCUAUAUUUAAUACUCCAUGCAUACGUCUAAAGAUUCGAUGUGACGGGGAAUCUGAAAAAUUUUGUAAAAUUUUUUGGGAACUAAACAAGUCCAUGGUUAUGUGUGUGUUAGGGAGUAUAUGUUUAGGGCCUGUUUAGAUUUAAAAUUUUUUGGUCCAAAGAGGAAAAAUUUUGUGGAAUUGGGGCCUCGGAACUAAACGGGGCCAAAAAUUUGGGGCCAAAAAUUUAGGCUGCAGGGUCUGAUACUGUGCACGUACUCCCAUAGAAGCCUACCAAUGACAACUGCAACUGCAUGCAGCCCAAGUUGUGUCAGAAAAAACUUUCCCAAACUAAAUACCUAAAAUAUUUCGUGUGCGUCAGACUUCUGAGCUAAAAUUCUGACCACAAAAAGUUUACUACUUUGGCCAAAAAAAUUCAAAUCUAAACAGAGCCUUAUUAGUUGUCCAUGUGAGACAAGUUUAUAACCUUGUUGUGCAUACAGCAACUAGUGGUCUCUUUCCUUGAGCAUUUAGGCCUUGUUUAGUUCCGUCUUGAAAUUUUUUCGUGACACUGUAGCACUUUUCGUUUGAUUGUGGUAAUUAUUGUCCAAUCAUAGACUAACUAGACUCAAAAGAUUCGUCUCGUCAAUUCUGACCAAACUGUGCAAUUAGUUUUUAUUUUCGUCUAUAUUUAGUACUUUAUGCAUGCAUCUAAAAAUUUGAUGUGACGGAAAUCUAAAAAAUUUUGUAAAAUUUUUUAGGACUAAACAAGGUCUAUAUUUGACGGUUUCUCCUCCUUCCUAUUCCUAGGUGUGGCUUCCAGUUUUGCUACGGAUGUGGGAUGUCGUGGAGUUCAUCUCAUUCUAAUAAUUGCCCAGGAUUAUGAGACGGUGUUACGUUACGGAAGCUACAUACUUGAUAAUGGAUCAUGCUAGAAAUAUAUUAGCAAUCAUCUUUUCGUCUUUGUGUCAUCGUCGUGAAGUGACAGGAUCGUCAUAACACUAUAAACAGUAUGUGAAGACGGAUGGUUUCAGUGAACUCGCUUCUGGAGUUUUGGGAGAUGAAAGAUGGCUGGGCCUUGUUGUGUCACAGCUUUGAGAAAUUAAUGAAAAUGAAUGUUAAGCAAACUUGAGCUCUUAUUUAUUUAGUUUUUAGAGCAUCUCGAAGAGUACCCUUUUUUUCUUCCUAAAAACAGUACCUGGCCUUAGUCCUAGUGGAGAUUUCAGUCUAAUAAAAGGAGCUUUCUUGGAAGAAAGAAAAAUAAUCUGAUCGAUCUAUAACAAUGAAAGAACCUAAUUUUUUAGGAAAUACCACCGAAAUAAUAAAUUUUUAGUUAGAACUAGCAUUCUAUUAUGGUUUCUAGCUAACAUUAUGAAUCCACUAUUUAGCUUCCUGGCCAUUAACCUACCCUUGGUGGAUAAGUUCCUUCUCUUCUUCUUGAGGUCCAGCAUAAGCGAAGUCUAAGAUCGGCACGAGCCCUAGCUAGGCAGCAACAGAUCUCGGUGGUGGCAUGAGUCCGAGGUGGGGUUGGAUCCGACUAAGUUAUCAGUGGUGGCGACGCACAAGUGUUGUGACUAGCCUAUGAGAGCAUGUCCACCAGAUCCCCUUUUCCAUAAAGUUUGCUAUAGGGGAUUGAUAAAACAAAGUUCCAGAUUUUUUUAGAUAAAGAAUAAAUAUCCGGCUUUAUCUAUCCAAAGAUAGAAUCAGACCAAAAAUUACAGGAUGUUCAAAGAAAAAAAUCUGCUGUACAAUCUACAGCUGCAAGCACGACUACUGGAAAAGGAAAACAGUUUUUGACUAAGCAAAACCAACAUGUCUGUGCAUAAGCCAACCAUUGCAACUAAAGAAAGCUAAAGCCGACGUCUCCAGGCGAGUUGCUGCUCUUUAAGAUCUUCAUGCCGCUGCAAUAUUGCCCACUGUCGUAGCCAAUGAGUUCCUCGGACCUGCAAAAGAGACUUAGGUUUGCAUUUAUCAAAAACUAUUUCAUUCCUUGUUAGCCAUAUUGUCCACAGUAAGGCUGAUGCUGCUGUUAAUAACAAUGAAUUAACUUUUUUACUACCCAACUUUGACCAAUUUUCAAACAAAUCAUUGAUGCUCAGUGGAGGUGAAAUCCCAAAAAGUAAAUGUAUGGAACGCCACAAAAACUUGGCAUAAUAACAAUCGAAAAAAGGUGUUGAAUUGACUCUAAAAGAUGGCAGAAACCACAAGAUUUAUCUCCAUGCCAAUUUCUCCUAGCUAAGUUAUCCUUUGUUAGAGUAACACCCCGUUUUAAGUACCACAUGAAAAUUUUAAUUUUCAUUGGUAGCUUUGUUUGCCAAAUAUCUUGUGAGACACGUUCCCCAUUGUUAAUUAAAGCAACAUACAUUGACUUGACUGUAAAGAUUCCCGAGGACUUUGAACUCCAAACAAAAACAUCUCUCCCCUGCAUUAGGUUUAAGUGUUGUAGAGAAGCCAAAAUUCGGCGCUAGUUAUCUAAGUUUCUGCCCACUAGAUUCCUCCUGAAGGAGAUGUUUAAGUUGGGAGAACUCAAAAUAGUUGCAAUAGAAUCUUGCUUCCUUCUAACGAUAUUAAACAAUGCAGAGAAUUUAUCUUUUAGAGGUUUGUUACCCACCCAAGUAUCAAACCAAAAUCUGGUUUGGGACCCAUCUUUUACAUUAAAAUGUCCAAGUUCUAAAAAAGUGUCUUUCACUUUCAUUAGACUUUUUCCAAAAAUGCGAGUCCAUCGGUUUUUUUUCACAACUUCCUAUGGUCUUAUUCUUAAUAUACUUGUUUCGUAACAACUCUUGCCAUAAACCAUCCUCAUUUAAUAACUUGAACAACCAUUUACUAAGCAAACAUUUGUUUUGAAUUUUUAAGUUUUGGAUUCCAAGCCCUCCUUGAUCUCUAGGCUAGCACAUAAUUUCCCAUUUGACUAAUCGGUAUUUUCUUUUGUGUUGAUCAUUCUGCCAGUAAAAACGAGACCUAAAACAAUCCAAUUUCUCCAACACACCCUUUGGUAGUUCAAAAAAAGACAUCAUAAAACAUCGGUAGACUUAACAGCACCGAAUUUAUGAGAACUAACCGACCACCAGUUGUUAGCAUUUUACCUUUCCACCCGCUAAGUCUUUUUUCAAUGCGUUCCUCGAUAGAUUUCCAGUCCUUAUUGUGCAGCUUCCUGUAAUGCAUAGGAAGUCCCAAGUAUCUAAACGGGUAUUUUCCCAAAACACACCCAAACAGUUGCGAAUAGAACUCUUCGUGAUCUUUUGCUCUACGGAAACAAAAGACUUUACUUUUACGAAAGUUUAUCUUUAAGCCAGAUAGUUGUUCAAACGUGCUUAAUAAUAGUUUCAUAUUGAUAGCUUUCUCAACAUCAUGGCUCAUAAAUAUCACUGUGUCAUCCGCAUACUGGAGGAUGGAUAAACCAUCUUCGAUGAGAUGUGGGAUAACACCUUCUACUUGGCCUGCAUCUUUUGCUCUAGCAAUUAGUAUGGUCAACAUAUCCACCACUAUAUUAAAUAGUAUUUGCGACAUGGGGUCAUCUUGCCUUAAGCCUUUUUUAGACUGGAAAUAAGGUCCUAACUGGUCAUUAACCUUGAUAUUAACGUUACCGCCUUGUGUAAAGUGUUUUGUCCACUCACACCAUUUGUGAGAAAAACAUUUCAUUCUUAAAGUUUGUUGUAGGAAAUCCCAAUUUACUUUGUCAUAAGCUUUCUCAAAGUCUAUUUUAAAAAUCACCCCAUCUUGUUUUUUUAUGUAAUUCAUGAAUAGUUUCAUGCAGAAUCACAACACCCUCCAUGAUAUUUCUUCCUGGCAAAAAGGCUGUCUGAGUCGAUCUUAUCAGUUUUUGGGCCACUGUGGUAAGUCUAUUUGUCGCCACCUUAGUGAAGAUUUUAAAAGAGACGUUCAACAAACAGAUAGGCCUAUAUUGUUGAAUUACCCUUGCUUCAGCUUUUUUAGGUAACAAAAUAAUAUUACCAAAAUUCAAACGAUUUAGAGGUAGUGUUCCCUGAUAAAAAUCUGAGAACAAAGCCAUCAAAUCAUUUUUAAUUAGCUCCCAAAAAACUUGAUAAAACUCCGGAGGAAAGCCAUCCGGACCAGGUGCUUUAUUAUGUUCCAUUUGGAAAAUAGCUAUUCUAACUUCCUCCUCCAAGAAUGGUGCAAUUAACAACUCAUUUUCCAGAUCUGAGACUUGAGGUAUGUCCACCGUCUGUGAUUCAUCUAAUGAAAUUAGAGAGGCAUCAGACGGACCGAACAAGUUUUUGUAAUAACUGGUAAUAUGCUGUUUAAGUUGAGCAUCACCAGUUAUAAUACUUUCCCCAUCGUCAAGCUGAAAAAUAUGAGUUUUCCUAUGCCUACCAUUGGCUAAUAAGUGAUAGUACUUAGUAUUAGUGUCACCUUCCAACAAGUGCUUCACUUUAGCCCUUUGGUACCACUUAAGCUCCUCCUCCCUCAAGAGUUCUGCCAAUCUUUCAUUUAGAACAUGUUUUAAAUUUCUUUCAGAUUCAUUCAACUCCACCAGCUCUGCCUUUUUAUCCAGCUCAUCUAGUUUGUUUAAUAAAAAAAUUUUCUCUUUUUUGUACAGUCCACUCACGUGUUUUGCCCAACCUCUAAGCUGUUGUCUUAAUCUUCUAAUUUUCAUUUGCCACCUUUCUAUCGGCGAACCAGAAACCGUAGUAUUCUGCCAAAUAUCCGCCACCAUCUCACAAAAGCCGUCUCUCAACAACCAACCCAACUCAAAUUUGAAUUGAGUUUGAAAAGUUGACGAAGCAUUAUUUGUAGAGACUAAGAGUGGUGUAUGAUCAGAAAUUUCUCUAUUCAGUGCCUGCACAGAGGUAUGAGUAAACUGUGCUUCAAAGUCUGUACAUACUAAGACUCUGUCUAACCUUUCAAAAGUUUGGUUUGGCAUAUUAUUUGCCCAAGUGAAUUUUCUUCCUGACAACUUUAUUUCUCUUAGGUUCAGACUGUCAAUGACAGCAUUAAACAUAAAUGGCCAUCUAUCAUUAUAAUGAUCAUUAUUUUUCUCGUCAGGCCCGCGGAUAAUAUUAAAGUCACCACCUACAAGAAUAGAAACAAAUCCGUACUAGCUCAGACAAGAAUUUUGCCUUUUAAUCUACCUGUGCUGGGCCAUAAACUGAUAUCAAAUUAAAUUUAAAAUCGUGUUCUUUGUGUCUAAGCUUAAAUCUGAUUAAAAAAACUACUCCUUCAAUUUCCCCAAUGUCGAAAGUUAACAAAUGAAUGCCUAGAAUCAUACCACCAGGGAGUAUGUUUUUUAACAAGAAAAUGAGUUAUUUAAGUCAAUUAUCUCCAUUAAGCCAUGCUAUGAUGAGCUAAACACUGAGUUCUUCUCUCUAGUUAGACACAUCUAGUAGGUAGGCUCUAUAUAUGCCAAUUUAGGCUACUCCGAGUUUGGUGUUAUCAAAAUUGCCACAGUAUUUCCAAUUAUCAUUGGAUGUAGAAAAAUAUAGAGAGAGGGGAUUAGAUAGGAAUCUCCUCGAGCUAUUUUCUAUCCGAUCCCAUUAUAUAUAUCGUGAUUAUAGGAAAAGGAGAUCUCUUUUUUUGAACUGGUCUAGUUUUCUAAGAUCUAUUUGGGUAUGUGUCCAUAACUAAUUGUUUAGUCAUCUAGACUGUGCAAACAAGUGGACUAAUAAGUGAAUAAUUUUUAGUUCACAUUUCAUCAACUAAUAACUAAUCAAUUAGUUUGAUAUAAAAGAAAGCUGGAAUCUACUAAGAGCUAAUAUGUAAACAUUACAGGACUAUAAACUUGACUAAGGGUAUUGUUUGGAUAUACAUGACUAGUUACUAGCUAUGUAAAAAUUAGCUCAAAUUAGCUAUGAUUGUCUUAACUACUAGUUGAACAAUUGGCUAAAAAAUCAUCCAGCUAUUAGCUCUACCUUUUGAAUGUACUAAAACUAAUUUUGACUAACUUUAGCUAGCAAUUAUAUUUGUAUAAAACAUCCUUAGGACUGGUCAUGUCAAGAAUCUUAGCAUAAAGAAUGAUAUCCCGUAUGAUUUCUCAUUGUUCAUCUACCAAAUUCAAACUGAAAAUAUUCCAACGGCGUUAACGUUUGCUCCUUUUUCGUUCAAGCCUCACUACAUAAGGCCUUGUUCCGAAUUUUUUUGAUUUCGGUACCGUAGCAUUUCUGUUUUUAUUCGACAAAUAUUAUCCAAUUAUGGACUAACUAGGCUCAAAAGAUUCAUCUCGUGAUUUACAGGCAAACUGUACAAUUAAUUUUUGUUUUCGUCUAUAUUUAAUACUCCAUGCAUGUUCCGCAAGAUUUGAUAUAAUAGAGAAUCUUGAAAAGUUUUUGGUUUUUGGAUGAACUAAAUAAGGUCUAAAAAAAUGGCUUGAUACGUUGGAAAUUAAUCUAAGCCUUAUUUAGUUUACCCCAAAAUCUAUUUUUUUUCAAGAUUCCCAAUCAUAUUAAAUUUUGCGGCAUAUACAUGAACCAUUAAGCACCUGUUUGGCACAGUGAGUCAGUGAACUGUUUUUUUUAGCCAAAUACUUUUUUUUCUAAAACAGUUUUAUGGAUGAAGCUAUUUUUCUUCUCCUCUCACAAAGAUACAAGUUGAAGCUAAAAAAACAUCUUAUCCUAGCUCUCUCUCCCAUUUCUUUCUUUCUCCCAUGCAUGAAGGUUCGAGUGAAGCUAUUUUAUCAAAUAACUUUUUCAAAACAGCUUAAUUUUACCUAAAAAGUUACUCAUGAAGCUCUUUUCUAAAAAAACGUCACUAGUGAAGCUGAGCUGUGUCAAUAGGACCUAAAUAUAAAUAAAAAAAUAACUAAUUAUAUAGUUUAUCUGUAAUUUACGAGACAAAUAUUUUAAACCUAGUUAGUUUAUGGUUAGAUAAUAAUUAUCAAAUCUAUAUCUACUAAUAAAUUAUAAAAAUUUCAGUCUGCCCGUAAUUUUCUUCUACCCCCGUCUCGGCCAGAAUCGGUCUCCGUCCGUUUAAGGGUUGUAGGAGAGAAAAAAGAAAUAUAAUAUUUUCUAGGUUCCCAAUGCAAAAUCUUCGGUUUAUAUUUCGGCUAGCCUCUACCGUGCUUGUAGAAGAGAAAAAAAUAAUUUUUUUUUCAGGGUUUCUAAUGCAAAAUCUCUUAUAUCCUAUUAAUUUUCUUUUCUUUUAUUCUUUAAUUUGGCUAAAAAUUAAUAAAUGUAUAGUAAAUUAUAAAAAAUCUAAAAAUUACAAAACAAAUUUUAUUCAGCUCCAUUUAUGUAGAUUCAUGCAGUAAACAAAAAAUAGGUACAAAGUGUUUGUCCUAUUAAUUUACCUUUUCUUUUAUUCUUUAUAUCAGCUGAAAAUUGAUAAAUGCGUAGAAAUUCAUAAAAAAUCUAAAAAUUACAAAACAAAAUUUGUUCAGAUCCACAUAUGUAGAUCUAUGUAGUAAACAAAAAAUAUUACAAAAUUUAGUAUAUUUUUUUGCUAGAGAUGCAUGCCUAUGUUUUUUAGUGUAAAAUUUAAAUUGUACUCCCUCCAUCCCAAAUUGUAAGUCAUUUCAAGAAUCUUGGAGAGUCAAACUUUUCAAAGUUUGACCAAAUUUAUAUGAUAAAAUAAUUAUUAUUAUGAUACCAACUAAAUAUCAUUAGAUUCUUCCUUAAUUAUAUUUUCAUAGUAUACUCACUUUAUAUUACAAAUCUUAGUAUUUCACUCUAUAAUUUUGGUCAAACGUGAAAAUACUUUGACUCUCUAAGAUUUUUGGAAUGACUUAAAAUUUGGGAUGGAGGAAGUAAACAAAAAAUAUUACAAAUUUUAGUAUAUUUUUUUGCUAGAGAUGCAUGCCUAUGUUUUUUAAUGUAAAAUUUAAAUUGUACUCCAUCCCAAAUUGUAAGUCAUUUCAAGAAUCUUGGAUAGUCAAACUUUUCAAAGUUUGACCAAAUUUAUAUGAUAAAAUAAUUAUUAUUAUGAUACCAACUAAAUAUCAUUAGAUUCUUCCUUAAUUAUAUUUUCAUAGUAUACUCACUUUACAUUACAAAUCUUAGUAUUUCACUCUAUAAUUUUGGUCAAACGUGAAAAUACUUUGACUCUCUAAGAUUUUUGGAAUGACUUACAAUUUGGGAUGGAGGGAGUAGUUAUCUUGCUCCAAUUAUUAUAAAAAAUUUAUGGUAGCCUAUUUAAUAUGAUGUUUGAUUUGUGGUAAAAGUUCUAGCACCAUUCCUGCAUAUCUCACUGAUUUACUAAUUUACCUAAAUUUAUGCUUGCUAAAUAGUUUAGCAUCAAUUUAAGUGUGUAAAAAUAUAAAAUAGAUAAUUCCACUACCUUUGCACGAUGUAUUGUUAUAUCAUAUGAACACUUCAUAAUUAAGCCUAUAUAUUUAUAAUCUAUAUACAUUUAACUGAUAUAUCAUAUUUAUAGGAAUCCUAAUCUAAAUAAAAAAAAUAAAGCUAGCAACAAACUUCUCAUGUUUUAAUAUAAUACUACUAGUAUUAUUAUUAAAUAAAUAUGUCUCCAAGCUACAUAAUAUUGUAAAUAUUAACUAUCUUAUACCGUAGAUGUCAUGGUUAUCAAUAAAAUAAAUUAUGGACUUUAAAUUUCAUAAAAAAGAUAAAUAUAAAUAGAUAUGUAAUAUUAUGUCACCAUUUUUAUGACCAUUUGAUGUUUUUCUUCCGUUGCAACGUACGGACAUAUUUGCUAGUACAAACAAAAGUGUUAAGUGUCAAAAUUUAAAAACCUUUUGAUCUAAACCAGCCCUAUCUACGCAAAAAAUUAGGAGUAUUCCAAAGGACAGAUAAAGAUUAUUUCGAAAAAGUAGGUAGAUUUCCACGACGGCACGACCUGCACUGCAUGCAGCCUUUUGCACUUCUCGUUCCUUCCCAUGAAGCCUAACACCUCAGGAAAAAGACGGAAGUGCCCCCUUAAAAUCCAAACUGAACCUGAGAACCCAAACCCGCAUCCGAUCCUGCAAAAGAAGUUGCAGGCAGAGAGAUUCCUCGCAAAAGGAAGCCGGUGAGCCGGAGGGAUUCCCGCCGGUUCCACGCACCGGCUCGCUGGACCUCUCGUCUCCCUCCCCCUCCCUUCCCUGUGCCGCCCACGGCAGAAUGGCGGGAGCCGACGGGGCGCAGCAGCACCACCACCCCUGCAGCAUCUGCAUGGAGCCCAUGGCGCCCACCGCGGCGCACCGCGGCGCACCGCGGCGGCGCCGCCUGCGCGCACGCAUUCUGCGGCGCGUGCCUGUCCGGGCACGUCCGCGCCAAGCUCGAGUGCGGCGGCGGUGGCGCCGUGGUGCGGUGCCCCGACGCGUCCUGCGCUGCCGCGCUCGAUCCGGAGCUCUGCCGCGGCGCGCUCCCCUCCGAGGUCUUCGAGCGCUGGUGCGCCAAGCUCUGCGAGUCCCUGUUCCUCGGCGCGCGCCGCACCUACUGCCCGUUCCCGGACUGCUCCGAGAUGAUGGUGGCCGACGACGACAGCGAGGAGUGCGUGACCCAGUCCGAGUGCCACGGGUGCCGCCGGCUGUUCUGCGCGCGGUGCGCGGUGCCGUGGCACGCCGGCGUGACCUGUGAGGAGUUUGAGCGGCUCGGUGAGGGGGAGCGCGCGCGGGAGGACCUGCUGCUCGUGAAGGCCGCCCGGGAGGGCAACUGGAAGCGUUGCCCGCGCUGCAGGUUCUACGUGGAGAAGUCCAGUGGCUGCCUGCACAUUACCUGCAGGUAAAGGUUGCUUCUUGUUUACAGUGUGGAAAACUAACCAAUCUGAUUGCCGUCGUCGUGGCCUCAGUCAACCUUUUGUAUUUCAUUAGUACAUUGUCCUUGUUUGAUUCGAUUGUGCAGGUGCGGGUAUGAGUUUUGCUAUGGAUGCGGUCAGCAAUGGCAGCUGAUACAUGACGGCUGUCCUGGGGCAUGAAACAGGUGUGAAUGAUGCUCGCUAGUGUAGUUUAUCUGGAUUUCCAUUGGAACAAUGAAUCAUCAAUCAUGCAUGUCCCUUUCUCUCUCUUAAUACUCUGAUCUUGAGGAUUGAUGCUAGGAGGCUCAGGUGGCUUUGUUUUCAACUUAAUCGAAUGUGCUUGAUUAUUUGGUAUGUCUUGCUCCGAUUUAAACUAUUUAUGUAGCACUUCACAAUCUUGUGACAUGUUAUGCGUGUGAUCAAAUUGUGUGCUAUUUCAUUUUGCUGUUACUUGAUUGAGAAAUUAUUGAGGUAAAAUAUUACCUCUGUUUGGAUCUCCUAAAAAAUGAGAUCGAGAUCCAAACACUUGGAUUGUAGAAUGAGAUUCUGGGAUCCAAAUAUCUACCCAAACCUUGCAAUUUGGAGAUUCUCACAGUGCAAAGGAAAUAAUCACUGUGAGAUUGAGAUCCAAACACCUCUGUUUUUUUUAAUUUAGAAUUUGGAUUCUGUUUCGCUAUCUAUAAUCACUAUGAGGAUGGGAUCCAAACAGGGCCUAUUUUGCAGGGAAAUGCUUCUUUUGCGGUGUUUCAUGCCUUGUUGUGUAAUGUGGACUUCUAGCAUUUCUCAGAUCAUUUCUUUGUUUCUGAAUCUUUGAACUGGAAACUGAGAACUAGAGUUGUGGCUUUGUAGUUCUGCCACCACUGCAUAUCUCUUACUGUGGAGAGAGAACGUUUAGCUGCUUGACAUAAUGAUAGUACUAAGUGUCUCCUUAUCAGUGUAGGUCCAUUUUGGCAUUUGGUUUUAUACUGGUCUUAACAUUAGCGUUCAGUUUGUUUAGUUUAUUUGUGUGAGCUUUGCCUUUGUCGGAAAAGGUAACUUGUGCUGUAGACAAAGAAUGUUAUGCGUAGACUUGGUCUUCUCUGGUUAAACUGAAAACUAGCUCUGCGUACAACUACUGAGGAGCAACAAAGGCCAAUUGUUCACUACCUCGGUACCUUCUUGUCAGUCAAAUCAUUUGCUGCAUUUGAGACUUAGUGCUUCACAGAUUAAAUUAACUGGUAUAGAAUUGUUACCUUUGUUUAGUGGACAAUUUUUGGAGUGGUAAGUGCUAUAUUAUGGUAGUUAUUGUUUUGAUCACUUUAUUGUUAGAGUUACCAUGAACUCACUGUUUCUGAUUUUAAGGGGCAAGCUUGUGAAUCUUCUCCUGCAUAUACUCCUUUCAUGCUGCUGUGUAUACUGGUUUUUGUCCAUUGUCACAUUGCAAAUUUUGGAAAUAGAAAAAAAAUACAACAGGGCUACGGAAAAACAUUUUGCCUAAUUUGACAUGUCUUCUCAACACUUGUAUCUCAAUCUAGUUUACAAAAGUAGCUUGUCAAAAGUUACAUUGCUAUGUUGUGUAAUUUGUGCUUACAACACGACACUGUGCCAUUAAACCCCUAAUGAGAAGUUACAAUACGAGGAAAAAAAUAUUUUAUUUUAUUUUUGACAAAAAGGGUUCCCCCCUGCUUUAUAUUCAUAAAGCACAAACAGUUCACAGCAGAGAUUUGAGGAAAAAAUUAUAAUGAGAGGACUUAAGAUCUUUGGUACAGCCCUGGUUAUUGUUGAGUCGAAGCAGUCAGCUCUCAAUGCAGAAAAUUGGAAAAAUUAAAAUUAUGUUUUACCUUGUAGUUACUGUUGACAUUUCAAAGUACGUUUGAUCAAUUGCAGGUUUGGCUUCGAGUUCUCCUGUGGCUUCGUUAAGCAAUGGGAGCUGAUACAUGAUGAGGGUUUCAAGAAUGGAGUAGGUAUUGAUGUUGCUAUCAGUAUGGUUUCUCUAGUCCCAUGUGAACCAUGGUCCAUGGAUAGUCUGAUAACCUCUCUACAGUACUUUGGAAUAUUGUUCUCAUGCAUGGUGUUUGUCUCCAGUAACAUGCCGACAUGAUACUUUUCUUUAACUUAAGCUGAGUUUGACAGUGCUUGGAAUUUUACGAUGCAGUACAUACGGGGUAGUUGCAUUAACAGGACAAUCUAUUUGAUACUGACAUGGGAAAUUAUAUAUAGGUCUUUUAUCUUUUUUAUUUCCUCAACCCUGUGAGCUGAACAGAACGACAAUUGCAUCAGUAUGGUCAGAAAACGCAAAAAGCAUCACAAAUCAAUCCAAUACCCUGAUUUGUGAUAGAAGUAAUCAAGAAGACGAUUUCAUGACUACAUGUGAGCAACAUUUAUGAUCGGCUGUUGAAUUUGCGAUUUACACAGGGAAAUCAAUUCAUAGUAUUCUAAAUUACAGUCGGUUGGUUGAAUCAUGUCUACCUUCCAGCAUUUGCUGUUGACGUUGUUUCCUUUGUGCUACAUUGUGCCCAUGCACUUUCCAGUCUAAAGUUCACAACGAUGAACCUGGUAGGAGUUACUCUACCCUGUAGAGGGACUGAAAUCGGCUGGUUCAUUUGUUUUAUAUUGUAUACAGAUUCAGAUAUACAUUAGGCAUGUGUGUAUAUAUAGGAGGGAUCUCUGCAGAUAUGGCUCGAGACAUGUAGAAUGAAGCACAAAGACAGAUGCUUUGCGGUUGAGUCACUCAAAUUAUAGGCCGAAUUAACGUGGGAGCCUGUCUGUAGAAAACCAAAACUAUCAGCGAAGACUAUUUUUCUCACAAAGAAAUUAUAUAUUUUUUUUAUUAAUAAGUCAAGCUUGGAAGGGCUCCUCUGCCUAUGGCUCGGUGUCGGAGGAGUCGGAGCUGGAGAAGCCACAAAACGUGCUAAAAUCUAUGAGAUGUUGGUAAAUCAACAGUUGAGCCGAACUAAAUACUCCGUUCUACUGGUGUAGCUGUGCUUCUUGCCUCGAUUUCCCUCGGCUAUCCAGAUGAACGCGCGAGGGCGCCGGCGCCACGAAUGCUUGUCCGAAGCACGGGUGGGCAGUUUUGCACAAGCAAUAGAAGACGGCGGGCUCGUCAGCUAUGCUGUGUGAGUUGCGAACAAGUAAUCCUCGUGCUUUUCACCCUUUAAUUACUUGUGCUUUGGGUAAUUGGGCAUUUCGGUUACAGCGAGGAACGCGAGAUGUUGUUUGCCAAGAUCUUGUGGUAGCUUUGCUGGCUUCUGCGCACUACUCGCACUCGGCACUCGAGCGAUUCCCCUCAAGCUCGUGGAGGUCUUGGUGGCCACCAGCUAUGACUGAGAUGCGAGCAAUGGCUGGAUGGGACGUACCCUGGCAUACAGUCAUUUCAUUUCUACGUGUGUCUUUUGCGCUGGAAGUGGUAAGCGAGCGGCUGUGCAUGCCUUUGAUUGGAUUCCUGUUGCUUGCAUCUUGCUGCACCCGUUCCUAGCCACUCCAACAGUGAUCGCUCCAAAUCGAUGAUGUGGACGAAGAUGGCAAAACAGUGCACACAAGUUGACUCCAGCAAUGCCCCAUCGCAUUACACAGUCACAGACAGUAGUAGUAUUUAUCCCUUCAAGAAACUCAAAAGUCAUCACAUUUUAUGUUUAUACGUUAGUGCAGACUGGUACUAGCAUAUACACUGUUACUCCGUAUAAAGGUAUCAGGCAGGACAUGCGCUGUCCUGAACGGUGAAUAUCGCAGAGUUUUACAGGUUCCAAAUCUACCUUGGCGUUCUAUUUCAAACCGUCGUCCUUCCCUUUCCACCCGUGACCACCGAGUAGCAGUAGCAGCAGCAGCAGCCCACAAGCGCGCGCGUACAAACAAGCCGCUGAUCCGGCGUCCAAACACGCGGUGGCCCACGCCCGCGCCGGCCCAUCCACCCAUCCUCCUCCACUCCCCCCCCUCUCCUCUCCUCUCGCUCGCUCAGCCUCAGCCUCACCCCCUCACUGCGUCUCCCAGUCCGGCCGCAUCCACGGCCGCGCCGCGUCGCCACUCAGCUCACCCCGUCCCGUCUCUGCCUCCCCGUACCGCACUCUUGCACUGCACACCACCAGCGCAUCGCAUCUGGCCUGGCCACCUGACCUCCCCCGCCCUCCCUCUUCUUUACCCGAGGUGGCAGCGAGGCGCCUCCUCGCUUUUCCGCUUUCCCACUUCGCCUCGCUCUUGUCCCCAAUCGUCCCGAUCCGGCACCCGCGCAAUGCCGCCGCCGCCGCACUACUAUCCCGUCCUGCUGCCGCUACUGGUUCUUGCGGCUGUGGCGGGCGGGGGAGGGGGAGAGGCAGAUGGACUGGAGCGGACGUACAUCGUGCGGGUGGACGCCGACGCGAAGCCGUCGGUGUACCCGACGCACGCGCACUGGUACGAGGCGGCGGUGCUGGCGGCGGCCGGCGAUGGCGCGGGGUGGCCGGAAGGGGGCCCGCUGAUCCACACCUACUCGGCCGCCUUCCACGGGUUCUCCGCGCGGAUGUCCCCCGCGGCCGCCCAAGCGCUGGCGUCCGCGCCCGGGGUGGCGGCCGUGGUGCCCGAGCGCGUGCGGCAGCUCGCCACCACGCGGUCCCCGAGGUUCCUCGGCUUGCUGUCCUCCCCGCCGUCGGCGCUGCUCGCGGACUCCGACUUCGGGGCUGACCUGGUCAUCGCCAUCGUCGACACCGGCAUCUCCCCCGCGCACCGCAGCUUCCACGACCGCGGGCUGGGCCCGGUCCCGAGCCGGUGGCGCGGGGUGUGCGCGUCCGGGCCCGGGUUCCCGCCCAGCGCCUGCAACCGCAAGCUCGUCGGUGCGCGGUUCUUCUCCAAGGGGUACGAGGCCACCUCGGGACGCAUGAAUGAGACGGCGGAGGUCAGGUCCCCGCUCGACACCGACGGGCACGGCACCCACACCGCGUCUAUCGCUGCGGGGAGGUACGUGUUCCCGGCGUCCACGCUUGGGUACGCGCGCGGCGUGGCCGCCGGGAUGGCGCCCAAGGCGCGAUUGGCAGCGUACAAGGUGUGCUGGGUGGGUGGCUGCUUCGACUCCGACAUUCUCGCGGCCUUCGACGCCGCCGUCGCCGACGGUGUCGAUGUGGUUUCGCUCAGCGUCGGUGGCGUUGUUGUGCCGUACUACCUCGACGCGAUUGCUAUCGGGGCGUUCGGCGCCACCGAAGCCGGUAUCGUCGUCUCUGCUUCGGCCGGCAAUGGUGGUCCCGGUGGGCUCACGGUGACCAAUGUGGCGCCCUGGAUGGCCACCGUCGGGGCUGGCUCCAUGGACCGCGCGUUCCCGGCCAAUGUGCGGCUCGGCGACGGGCAGGUGCUCGACGGCGUGAGCGUGUACGGGGGGCCAGCGCUCGAGUCCGGCAGGAUGUACGAGCUGGUGUACGCCGGGGCGAGCGGCGACGGCGGCGGCGGAGCUUCGUCCGCGUCCGACGGGUACUCGGCGUCGAUGUGCCUCGACGGCUCGCUGGACCCAGCCGCAGUGCACGGCAAGAUCGUGGUGUGCGACCGCGGCGUGAACUCGCGCGCCGCCAAGGGCGACGUGGUCCACCGCGCGGGUGGCAUCGGAAUGGUGCUAGCCAACGGGGCGUUCGACGGCGAGGGCCUUGUCGCCGACUGCCACGUCCUUCCGGCGACCGCCGUCGGCGCGGCUGCGGGCGACAGGCUCCGCAAGUACAUCGCGUCGUCCACCAAGCAGAGGCCCGCCACGGGUACCAUCCUGUUCGAGGGCACCCACCUGGGCGUGCACCCGGCGCCGGUGGUGGCGGCGUUCUCGGCGCGCGGCCCGAACCCGCAAUCCCCGGAGAUCCUGAAGCCGGACCUGAUAGCUCCCGGCCUCAACAUCCUGGCGGCGUGGCCCAGCGGCGUCGGCCCGGCCGGCAUUCCCUCGGACAUCCGCCGCACCGAGUUCAACAUCCUGUCAGGCACGUCCAUGGCCUGCCCGCACGUGUCCGGGCUCGCCGCGCUGCUCAAGGCGGCGCACCCGACCUGGAGCCCCGCGGCGAUCAAGUCGGCGCUGAUGACCACGGCCUACGUGAGGGACAACAGCAACGGGACGAUGGUGGACGAGUCGACGGGCGCGGUGGCCGGCGCGUUCGACUUCGGCGCCGGGCACGUGGACCCGAUGCGCGCCAUGGACCCGGGUCUGGUGUACGACAUCGGGCCGGGGGACUACGUCAACUUCCUGUGCAACCUCAACUACACGGAGCAGAACAUCCGCGCCAUCACGCGGCGGCAGGCGGACUGCCGCGGCGCGCGGCGCGCCGGGCACGCGGGCAACCUCAACUACCCGUCGAUGUCGGCCACGUUCGUCGCCGCGGCGGACGGCGCCAGGGAGACGACGACGAUGAGGACGCACUUCAUCCGGACGGCGACCAACGUGGGCGGGGGCGGGAAGGCGGUGUACCGCGCGUCGGUCCAGGCCCCCGAGGGGUGCAACGUGACGGUGCAGCCGCGGCAGCUGGCGUUCCGGCGCGACGGGCAGCGGCUGAGCUUCACGGUGCGGGUGGAGGCCGCGGUGGCGGCGGCGCCCGGGAAGAGGAUGGAGCCCGGGAGCUCGCAGGUGCGGAGCGGCGCGCUGACGUGGAGCGACGGCAGGCACGUCGUCCGUAGCCCGAUCGUGGUGACGGUGCAGGCGCCAUUGCAGUGACUAGUACUGAUGACCGCGGAUGGAGCCGGAGCUGUGGUGAGGCCAUCGACGGGAGGUGGGGGAGAACACAGUCUCAGUGUUCUUUGUGAGUCCUCAAGGUUUUUAGCUUUUCUGUAUUAAUUAAGGUUGCUGUUAGCUGUAGAAUACGGUCGUGGAAGAGCUGUAUCGGUAGCUACUACGUAAGCUAUUAUAUACUGGAAGUCUGGAGCUCGUCGAUCUCCGGUCGUCUUCCUCCAUUUCUCCUCGUCUUGCUUUGACUGCUGCUACCAUUUGCUUCUGUUUUCUGAUGAAGCAUGCCAUGUCGGCCACCAGUGUUUGUGUGGUUUUUGCAGGGAAUGGCUUUCAAGUGCUGUGAUUGAAUGGCCCUCGUCGUCCUCGGCUGAGCUCACAUGGACGCGUCAUGUGAGUGAGAUAUAUGAUCAUAUGAUGAGUGGGGUUCGGGUGAGUGCGUACUUGAAGUAGGAUCCCGCUUUCACUCAUUCAUUCAUUGGCCUUUAAACCGGGAAAUUUUCGCGAGGAGAUGGAGGGAAGCAAGCAGGGUGACGAGUGCAGAGUGCAGCGAGCGCUUUGUCAAAAGGCACCGCCGUAGGCAAAAAAAUCAAUGGCCCUGACUGACUCGAUGGUAGUACUACUGUAGAGACUAGAGAGGGUUGCUCCCCAUAUCUUCGUGUGACUUUUACUCCAGCAUUGCAUUUCCGUCAUUGAGACGUUAAUUAAUAGCAGCUUUCGGGACAGAUGACUGUGGCCAUGUUUCGUCACGGCCGCUUCGUGCCAGCUGGGGGUACUAUAGUACUGUGAUUUUGUUAGUAGAAACUUUCAUUUGGCCACCAUUGACGACCGGGCCUUCGCUUUUGCUGCGCUAAUUAACCAUUUCCCGGCGACCGAAGGGAACAUGAACAUGCCCCGACACAUGAGGGCAUGAGGACUAGUGUUCUCCCUGUCGUUCGUUGACUUGAGUGGACUCCAUUGACGACCAGGCCUUGCUCAUUCCGGGUCCCAGCUGAGGAACAGCGACGAAACAUAUGGCCCGGCACACACAAUUCCAUUCUCACGGUCGUUCAGCAGUUUUCAAUCCAGCGAACGAUCUGACAGCUAAUACAUACCGGUUGGCUACUCUCUUUCCCCCUCCUCCCACUUCCCUUUUCCUCUGUUUUUGAUGUCAUCAUAAAAAAAAGCAAAACAUUUAUUUCAAAUUAUUAUAACUUUUAAAUGAUGUAUCUAUUUUUAAUUUCGUCUACACCGGUGUGUUCAACGUGACGAGACGAACAAAACUAGACCCCACUUCUGUAUGUUUCGAAGAUUUUUAUUUUUUUUAGUACCAACUUAUGUAUAUUAACUUAUAACAUAUAAUAUAUAUUGCUAACUUAUUCUGCUAAAUUAUGCUGCUAACCUAUUCUGCUAAGUUGUAUUGUAUAACUUCAGUUUGUGUAUAAUAACUGCGUAACUUUCUAUAUACACUAGCGUAUUAGUUGUGUAACUUAUGUACAUAAGUUGUAUUGUGUAAAUUAUGUCUCCCUCUAUUCCAAAUUAUAAAAUGUUUUGAUAUUUCUACAUAUAUUGAUUUUGUUAUGUGUAUACAUAUAUAGUUGUGUCUAGAUACAUAGUAAAUUCAAUUUAGAAAAGUCAAUAUGCUUUAUAAUUUGAAAUAGUGGGAGUAAACUUAUGUACAUAAGUUAUAUAGUAUAACUUUUUUGAGAACGACUAACUUAGCAAUGUUGAGUUAUUCCUCGAACUUAUGUUGUCUAGAAGCACUGCUAAGUUAGUACUGUUAAGUUUAUAGUAAAAGUUAUGCUUUUUAAUUCUGUUUUAUAAGUUAUGAGCACAUGCUUCUUAAAAAAAAUAAAAAAGUAUUAAAGAAGAGGUGAUCUAGCAAAAGAAAGUGAAAAGAGAAUCGAAUGCCUUAAAAGAGAAAGAGAAACGAUUCCUGUUCUGUCCAAAAAUAAAAAGUAAUAUAUGCACUUUCCAAAAAAGAAAAAAAAUAGCUGUCGGAAAUUGACCGCUGGUUUCAUUUACGCCGAACGUUCGUGAAAUAGUAACGUCACCCGCAUCGAGCGUCUGCGUGGCUGCGAGUCAGAUGUACCCGUUUGCGUAGUUUAAGAAAAGUUUUUAGGUAUUACAACAUAUUUCUAAUAAUUAAUAUCUCAUUAUAGAUUACUUAAAUUUAAAAGAUUUGUUUUAAAAUAUAUGCUAAAUAGGCCACGGCCGAUGCUGACUUGACGAGGCCCGCCAUCUCGUUUCACUGCUUUCCAAUGUCGCCUCCAGGGGCACUCGGGGCUUGUUUAGUUUCGAAAAGAUUUUGGAUUUUAGUACUGUAACAUUUUCGUUUUUAUUUGAUAAAUAUUAUCUAAUUAUAGAUUAACUAGGCUCAAAAGAUCUAUCUCGUAAUUUACAGACAAACUGUGUAAUUAGUUUUUAUUUUUAUCUAUAUUUAGUGUUUAAUGCAUGUGCCGCAAGAUUCGAUGUAACGAGAAAUCUUGAAAACUUUUUGGAUUGGCCUCGAUGUGCCUCUACGCUCUGUCCUCUCUCCAUAGGUCGCACGCAACCAUUGUUGUUGCUCUGCGACAUGUGUGUGUGCUGGCCUGCUGGCCAGGUACGAGCGACACCGCCACCAUGUCAGGGAUUCUCUCUAUUUUUUCCACUCGUUCUUCUAGCCACGGUCCACGACAGAUUCCUUGCCGUCGUGCAUCCGAUGGACUGCGAGGUCGCUGACAGUGCGCAUGUGCUUAACCGGCCGAAUCAAUUUCGGCUCGGCAGGAAGGUGCGCACACACACUGGCAUGAACCGAGAGAGGAGGAGGCAGGCUAGGAAAAAGGGCAAAAUGAAGAUGCAAAUAGGGCCUUGGGCGCUAGUGUCCGGAUGCCGGCUUUUGUACGGUGCUCUGCCCGCCCCUUCAUACAGAAAAGAAAAGAAAAAAAAAAGAAAAGUAAGAUAUGCGAACCUAACCCCGUUCGCCCCCGCAAUGAGAAGAAACGAAACCGCCCCUUUCUUCCGCUCCCCACACAAGGAACUCACCCCGUCUCUCACGCGCACGAGAUUUACACUGUCCCCAACUUCGCCGGCCCUCGGCACCUCCACCCUGUCACCAUUUUGCCCCCCAUAACCAGUCCCUAGCUCGCUCCUCCUUGCCACUACAACAGUAGGAGAAACAUAUUGUAGCAACAGAAGAAUAACUGUUGAAACAUUGCUGGCUAGAGUUGCUGAAACACCAUGAAUAUAUUGUUACAACAACACCUAACAAUUGAUGCAACUACUACUACAACAUGCAGAUUGAAAACAACGGAAACAUGCUGCAAAAAUACAAAAACAAGACCGAACAACUACUGCAACAACAUGCAACACACUACUCCAACAUGCAGAUUGAAGCAAUUCAAACACAUGCUGCAACAUCUCAAAAAAGCAGUGCUACUACAACACCAUUUGAAAACCUACUACAACAUCCAGAGAAAACCAUUACAACAUGUGCAAGAGCUGAACCCAAGAGCUCGCCAGAAUCCUAGCCUACCGUAACAUUAACUGAAAACCUAGUACAAUAUCUGGAGAAAAUCAUUGCAACAUAGUGAAAGUUGAACCCCGAGAGCUCACUGAAACCCUAGCCUACUGCAAUAUCACCUGAAAAUGUAUUACAACAACCAGAGGAUAUCAUUGCAACGCGCACGAGAGCUGAACCUCGAGAGCUUGUCCGAAACCUAGCCAUCGCUACAUCCCUUGGAUCUAGAGAGAGGUGGUGGAGGAGGAGGAGGAGGAAAGGAAGGGGACGACUCAGAUCCACAAAGGAUCCACCUACCUCGCUGGAAGACACCACCGUCGAGCUUCUCACUAC